rnacentral:lncRNA from 1 species
ACCACCACCAGGAAUCACUAGACGCAUGCGUUCGCGCUUGAUUUGCUUUCCUGUAGUCGUGUUUGGUCGUUCGCGGGCCUUCUACAUAUUUUGUAUGUUUCCACUCUUUCGUGAUUUCAGCUCAUUUAGUGUAAGUUUGCCUUCGAUUUGAUGUACUACUCGUGUCCGGUUCUGUAAUAGUAUUGAGUUAUUAUUAUGAUCCAUGUACUUUGGUGUAAUGUGUAAUUCCUUUAUUCCGAUAUAGUAUACAUUACUUCUACCGCGGAAUUUUUUUUUGAAGUCCCUUCUACCGCGGUAUUAUUAAAUGUGUCUGUCUAGGAUAGUCAUGUCACAUAGUCAUGUCACAUCUAAGUUACACAAUCAAGCAUAAAAAGAAAAAGAAAAUAAAAUAAAAUAAAAUACAUGAAGCCUUAAAAAAAACGAAUAUGAAAAUAGAUACCUACACGAAUCUCCAAGAUCAAUGACAUAGGGUCUGGGAUAGUCAUGUCACAUAUAAGUGACACAAUUAAGCAUGAGAAGUAAAAAGAAAAAUACCUAGAUGAAUCUUUAUGAAAAGGUUUUUCUUAUCAUUUAUGAAAUAUCAUCACUCUGUUUGGGCGCAUGCUAAAAAGAUGUUAUAUGACCAGAUGAAAGCCCAUCAUAUCAAAAUACCCAUGAACCCACGUGCCAGCUCUCCCUCAAAAGUGUGGGUCCCAUUCAAAAUCUCAGCGUAUUUAUUCUUAGCUUCAUGUGAGAUUGAGAGAGAUGAUAGGUGGGUCUAUUUAUUCUUAGCUUCAUGUGAGAUUGAGAGAGAUGAUCAUGUAUUUACUACAGCCAAAUCUAAUUUAUUCCUUACAUGUUAUACAAUAACAGAAUGCAUCCAUAAUUUUGUAAAGAUAAAUUCGAUUUAUUUCUCAUAUGAAAGAUAAUACAAAAUUACAGCCUGAAGAAUUGAACAUCACAUUUGCAGAAUGGAACCAAACAGUUAACUAAAGACGAUAACUAAUUAACAAAACAGUUAAUAAGUGAGCACCACACUGCACGAUAUAUAAAACAUAUACACUAGAGCAACAGAUUGCAUGGUAAAAUUAGAUAGCAGAGUUCACCAGAAUUUAUGAAGAAAAGGCAGGAGCAGCACACGCAACGGGUAAACCGAGCAUGCUUAACCGGCGUAGCUAGCAAAUGGUAAGGUGCUCAAUCUGGGGGUCGGCACGAAUGGCAGCCAUCGCGACCUCAUCCGCGCGUGCGGCCGCGAUUUGCUUCUCCGCUGCCAAAUGCUCCUUGAGAUCCUGGCUAUACUGCGUGCACCAUGGCUUAGGCCGGCGCUUAUUUGGUGGAGGGGUCGGUGAUUUGGGUGGAAGGUGUCGCGCUCGCGCGGGCGGUAGGGGCAUGUGGGAUGUGGAAGGAGGAGGAGGAUGGGGGUCGGGUGUGGAUUACCUGCCUGGAUAGGCGAGGCCGAGGAGCGUGAAGGAGGGUCACCGGCGAGGAGGCGACGACGCUUCAAGCAAGGAGUGAAGGUUUCAACUUGAAAAGGAAGGCGGAAAGAGGGGAAAUGUGGAUUUUGGUAAGGGAGAGUGGGCGGGGAGGUAGAUAUUUCCGCGGAAGCCGAAAAUUGGGAAUCACUUCAGCCAAAAAACUGGCGCGCAAAGUGUCAUCAGACACGAUCCCUUAUUCAGACACGGUCCGAAGAUAUUUUGUGCUGCAUCUCACACGGUUGGUUAUAGUAAACUGAGUGCGAUCUACUUGAUUUAUCGUCUUGAUCAUAUGAAUUACGUAAUGGGUCACAGCUACAAAGAUGCUGUUUGAAUUGUUAGAACUUUUAUCUGCAGUGAACAUGCAACUACAGGUGUGUUGUCAAAAAAAUGGGAAUUAUCUAGGGUUCGUUUGUACAUUUUUAUACAUUACCUGCGUUUUCCAGGCAUUUUAUGCGCAUAAUUCAAAUUUGAACUACAUGCACAUGCUCCAGUGCAUAUAAACUUACUGAAAAAUCAAAUAUGUGUCCUUGGUUGCAUGCUUAGGUCCCAUGCAAGAAAUAGGAAUGAAUUUCAAACACCCUACCACCGUCACUCGACGCAAACAUUGAGAUACCUGGUUUUUAAAUUCUAGUAAAUCCAAAACUCGUCUGAAAUUCAUGAAACUUGGCAUGCUAUCAUGUAGCGGCAUCAACAUGCCGUGGUAAAUUUUUUGUCCCAUUUGGGGCAGGUUUGGGUAUAAGCUUCUCACAAGCCAGAGCUUCUCACAACAAGCGUGAUGGUUUCGGUAGGGAAGGUGCCACCUUUGGGACAAAACGAUAUCCGUUGCCUCUUAUUGCUUUCGAAAUUUUUUGAGUGUCAACAUAGAACAACAAGAGUGUUGUGUUCAAUUUUGGAAUUUUUCGGGGUUCGUUUAGACAUUUUUAUGCAUUAACUGAGUUUUCAAUGCAUUUACGUGCAUAAUUCAAAUUUGAACUACAUGCACAUGCUCCAGUGCAUAUAAAUUGGUUGAAAAAUCAAAUCUGUGUCCUUGGGUGCAUGCUUAGGUCCCAUGCAAGAAAUAGGAAUGAAUUUCAAACACCAGGGCACCGUUGAUUGCCGGCAAAACAUUGAGAUGCCUGGUUUUUAAAUUCUAGUAAAUCCAAAACUCGUCUGAAAUUCAUGAAACUUGGCAUGCUAUCAUGGAGCGGCAUCAACAUGUCGUGGUACAAAUUUUGUCCCAUUUGGUGCAGGUUUGGGUAUAAGCUUCUCACAAACCGGAGCUUCUCACAACAAGCGUGAUGGUUUUCGGUAGGGAACGUCCCACCUUUGGGGACGAAACGAUAUCCAUUGCCUCUUAUUGCUUUCAAUUUUUUUCUCGUGUCAAUAUAGAACAACAGGAAUGUUGUGUGAAUUUUUGUGAUUUUUCGGGGUUCGUUUGGAUAUUUUUAUGCAUUAACUGAGUUUUCAAUGCAUUUAUGUGCAUAAUUCAAAUUUGAACUACAUGCACAUGCUCCAUUGCAUAUAAAUUGGUUGAAAAAUCAAAUCUGUGUCCAUGGGUGCAUGCUUAGGUCCCAUGCAAUAAAUGGGAAUGAAUUUUAAACACCAGGGCGCCGUUGAUUGCCGGCAAAACAUUGAGAUGCCUGGUUUGUAAAUUCUAGUAAUUCCAAAACUCGUCUAAAAUUCAUGAAACUUGGCAUGCUAUCAUGGAGCGUCAUCAACAUGCCGCGGUACAAAUUUUGUCCCAUUUGGGGCAGGUUUGGGUAUAAGCUUCUCACAAAUCGGAGCUUCUCACAACAAGCCUGAUGCUUUUCGGUAGGGAACGUCCCACCUCUGGGAACGAAAGGAUAUCCAUUUCCUCUGAUUGCUUUCAAAUUUUUUUCUCGUGUCAACAUAGAACAACAGGAGGGUUGUGUGAAUUUUUGUGAUUUUUGGGGUUCGUUUGGGCAUUUUUAUGCAUUAAGUGAGUUUUCAAUUCAUUUAUGUGCAUAAUUCAAAUUUGAACUACAUGCACAUGCUGCAGUGCAUAUAAAUUGAUUGAAAAAUAAAAUCCGUGUCCUUGGGUGCAUGCUUAGGUCCCAUGCAAGAAAUGGAAAUGAAUUUCAAACAAUAGGGCACCGUUGAUUGCCGGCAAAACAUUGAGAUGCCUGGUUUUAAAUUCUAGUAAAUGCAAACCUCGUCUGAAAUUCAUGAAACUUGGCAUGCUAUCAUGGAGCGGCAUCAACAUGCCAUGGUAAAAUUUUUGUCUCAUUUGGGGCAGGUUUCGGUAUAUGCUUCUCACAAACCGGAGCUUCUCACAACAAGCAUGAUGGUUUUCGGUAGGGAACGUCCCACCUGUGGGGACGAAAAUAUAUCAAUUGCCUCUUAUUGCUUUCAAUUUUUUUUCUCGUGUCAACAUAGAACAACAGGAGUGUUGUAUGAAUUUUUGUGAUUUUUCGGGGUUCGUUUGGACAUUUUUAUGAAUUAACUGAGUUUUCAAAGCAUUUAUGUGCAUAAUUCAAAUUUGAACUACAUGCACAUGCUCAAGUGCAUAUAAAUUGGUUGAAAAAUCAAAUAUGUGUCCUUGGGUGCAUGCUUAGGUCCCAUGCAAGAAAUAGGAAUGAAUUUCAAAUACCAGGGCACCGUUGAUUGCCGGCAAAACAUUGAGAUGUCUGGUUUUUAAAUUCUAGUAAAUCCAAAACUCGUCUGAAAUUCAUGAAACUUGGCAUGCUAUCAUGGAGCGACAUCAACAUGCCAUGGUACAAAUUUUGUCCCAUUUGGGGCAGGUUUGGGUGUAAGCUUCUCACAAACCGGAGCUUCUCACAACAAGCGUGAUGGUUUUCGGUAGGGAACGUCCCACCUUUGGGGACGAAACGAUAAUCAUUGCCUCUUAUUGCUUUCAAAUUUUUUCUCGUGUCAAUAUAGAACAACAGGAGUGUUGUGUGAAUUUUUGUGAUUUUUCGGGGUUCGUUUGGACAUUUUUAUGCAUUAACUGAGUUUUCUAUGCAUUUAUGUGCAUAAUUCAAAUUGAACUACAUGCACAUGCUCCAGUGCAUAUAAAUUGGUUGAAAAAUCAAAUCUGUGUCCUUGGGUGCAUGCUUAGGUCCCAUGCAAGAAAUAGGAUGAAUUUCAAACACCAGGGCACCGUUGAUUGCCGGCAAAACAUUGAGAUGCCUGGUUUUUAAAUUCUAGUAAAUCCAAAACUCGUCUGAAAUUCAUGAAUCUUGGCAUGCUAUCAUGGAGCGGCAUCAACAUGUCGUGGUACAAAUUUUGUCCCAUUUGGUGCAGGUUUGGGUAUAUGUUUCUCACAAACCGGAGCUUCUCACAACAAGCGUGAUGGUUUUCGGUAGGGAACGUCCCACCUUUGGGGACGAAACGAUAUCCAUUGCCUCUUAUUGCUUUCAAAUUUUUUCUCAUGUCAAUAUAGAACAACAGGAGUGUUGUGUGAAUUUUUGUGAUUUUUCGGGGUUCGUUUGGACAUUUUUAUGCAUUAUUUGAGUUUUCAAUGCAUUUAUGUGCAUAAUUCAAAUUUGAACUACAUGCACAUGCUCCAGUGCAUAUAAAUUGGUUGAAAAAUUAAAUCUGUGUCCUUGGGUGCAUGCUUAGGUCCCAUGCAAGAAAUGGGAAUGAAUUUCAAACACUAGGGCACCGUUGAUUGCCGGCAAAACAUUGAGAUGCCUGGUUUGUAAAUUCUAGUAAUUCCAAAACUCGUCUGAAAUUCAUGAAACUUGGCAUGCUACCAUGGAGCGGCAUCAACAUGCCGUGGUACAUAUUUUGUCCCAUUUGGGGCAAGUUUGGGUAUAAGCUUCUCACAAACCGGAGCUUCUCACAACAAGCAUGAUGGUUUUCGGUAGGGAACGUCCCACCUUUGGGGACGAAACGAUAUCCAUUUCCUCUGAUUGCUUUCAAAUUUUUUCUUGUGUCAACAUAGAACAAAAAGAGUGUUGUGUGAAUUUUCGUGAUUUUUCGGGGUUUGUUUGGACAUUUUUAUGCAUUAACCAAGUUUUCAAUGCAUUUAUGUGCAUAAUUCAAAUUUGAACUACAUGCACAUGCUCCAGUGCAUAUAAAUUGGUUGAAAAAUAAAAUAUGUGUCCUUGGGUGCAUGCUUAGGUCCCAUGCAAGAAAUGGGAAUGAAUUUCAAACAAUAGGGCACGGUUGAUUGCCGGCAAACUAUUGAGAUGCCUGGUUUUUAAAUUCUAGUAAAUCCAAAACUCGUCUGAAAUUCAUGAAACUUGGCAUGCUAUCAUGGAGCGGCAUCAACAUGACGUGGUACAAAUUUUGUCCCAUUUGGGACAGGUUUGGGUAUAUGUUUCUCACAAACCGGAGCUUCUCACAACAAGCAUGAUGGUUUUUAGGAGGGAACGUCCCACCUUUGGGGACGAAAAUAUAUCCAUUGCCUCUUAUUGCUUUGAAUUUUAUUUCUCAUGUCAACAUAGAACAACAGGAGUGUUGUGUGAAUUUUUGUGAUUUUUCGGGGUUCGUUUGGACAUUUUUAUGCAUUAACUGAGUUUUCAAUGCAUUUAUGUGCAUAAUUCAAAUUUCAACUACAUGCAGAAUGCUCAAGUGCAUAUAAAUUGGUCGAAAAAUCAAAUCUGUGUCCUUGGGUGCAUGCUUAGGUCCGAUGUAAGAAAUAUGAAUGAACUUCAAACACCAGGGCACCGUUGAUUGCUAGCAAAACAUUGAGAUGCCUGGUUUUUAAAUUGUAGUAAAUCCAAAACUCGUCUGGAAUUCAUGAAACUUGGCAUGCUAUCAUGGAGCGGCAUUAACAUGCCGUGGUACAAAUUUUGUCCCAUUUGGGGCAGGUUUGGGUAUGAGCUUCUCACAAAGCGGAGCUUCUCACGACAAGCGUGAUGGUUUUCGGUAGGGAACGUCCCACCUUUGGGGACGAAACGAUAUCCAUUGCCUCUUAUUGCUUUCAAUUUUUUUUUCUCAUGUCAACAUAGAACAACAGGAGUGUUGUGUGAAUUUUUGUGAUUUUUCGGGGUUCGUUUGGACAUUUUUUUGCAUUAACUGAGUUUUCAAUGCAUUUAUGUGCAUAAUACAAAUUUGAACAAAUGCACAUGCUCCAGUGCAUAUAAAUUGGUUGAAAAAUCAAAUCUGUGUCCAUGGGUGCAUGCUUAGGUCCCAUGCAAUAAAUGGGAAUGAAUUUUAAACACCAGGGCGCCGUUGAUUGCCGGCAAAACAUUGAGAUGCCUGGUUUGUAAAUUCUAGUAAUUCCAAAACUCGUCUGAAAUUCAUGAAACUUGGCAUGCUAUCAUGGAGCGGCAUCAACAUGCCGUGGUACAAAUUUUGUCCCAUUUGGGGCAGGUUUGGGUGUAAGCUUCUCACAAACCGGAGCUUCUCACAAGAAGCGUGAUGGUUUUCGGUAAGGAACUUCCCACCUUUGGGGACAAAACGAUAUCCAUUGCCUCUUAUUGCUUACCAAUUUUUUUCUCGUGUAAAUAUAGAACAACAGGAAUGUUGUGUGAAUUUUUGUGAUUUUUCGGGGUUCGUUUGGACAUUUUUAUGCAUUAACUGAGUUUUCAAUGCAUUUAUGUGCAUAAUUCAAAUUUGAACUGCAUGCACAUUCUCAAGUGCAUAUAAAUUGGUUGAAAAAUCAAAUCUGUGUCCUUCGGUAGAAGCUUAGGUCCUAUGCAAGAAAUGGGAAUGAAUUUCAAACACCAGGGCACCGUUGAUUGCCGGCAAAACAUUGAGAUGCCUGGUUUGUAAAUUCUAGUAAUUGCAAAACUCGUCUGAAAUUCAUGAAACUUGGCAUGCUAUCAUGGAGUGGCAUCAACAUGCCGUGGUACAAAUUUUGUCCCAUUUGGGGCAGGUUUGGGUAUAAGCUUCUCACAAACCGGAGCUUCUCACAACAAGCGUGAUGGUUUUCGGUAGGGAACGUCCCACCUUUGGGGACGAAACGAUAUCCAUUUUCUCCGAUUGUUUUCAAAAAAAAUUCUCGUGUCAACAUAGAACAACAAGAGUGUUGUGUGAAUUUUCGGGAUUUUUUGGGGUUCGUUUGGACAGUUUUAUGCAUUAACUGAGUUUCCUAUGCAUUUAUGUGCAUAAUUCAAAUUGAACCACAUGCACAUGCUCCAGUGCAUAUAAAUUGGUUGAAAAAUCAAAUCCGUAUCCUUGGGUGCAUGCUUAGGUCCCAUGCAAGAAAUGGGAAAGAAUUUCAAACACCAGGGCACCGUUGAUUGCCGGCAAAACAUUGAGAUGCCUGGUUUGUAAAUUCAAGUAAUUCCAAAACUCAUCUGAAAUUCUUGAAACUUGGCAUGCUAUCAUUGAGCGGCAUCAAAAUGCCGUGGUACAAAUUUUGUCCCAUUUGGGGCAGGUUUGGGUAUAAGCUUCUCACAAAACGGAGCCUCUCACAACAAGCGUGAUGGUUUUCGGUAGGGAACGUCCCGCCUUUGGGGACGAAACGAUAUCCAUUUCCUCUGAUUGUUUUCAAAAAAAAUUCUCGUGUCAACAUAGAACAACAUGAGUGUUGUGUGAAUUUUCGUGAUUUUUCGGGGUUCAUUUGGACAGCUUUAUGCAUUAACUGAGUUUUCUAUGCAUUUAUGUGCAUAAUUCAAAUUGAACUACAUGCACAUGCUCCAGUGCAUAUAAAUUGGUUGAAAAAUAAAAUCUGUGUCCUUGGGUGCAUGCCUACGUCCCAUGCAAGAAAUGAGAAUGAAUUUCAAACACUAGGGCACCGUUGAUUGCCGGCAAAACAUUGAGAUGCCUGGUUUUUAAAUUCUAGUAAAUCCAAAACUCGUCUGAAAUUCAUGAAACUUGGAAUGCUAUCAUGGAGCGGCAUCAACAUGCCGUGGUACAAAUUUUGUCCCAUUUGGGACAGGUUUGGGUAUAUGCUUCUCACAAACCGGAGCUUCUCACAACAAACAUGAUGGUUUUCGGUAGGGAACGUCCCACCUUUGGGGACGAAAUGAUAUCCAUUGCUUCUUAUUGCUUUCAUGUUUUCUCGUGUCAACAUAGAACAACAGGAGUGUUGUGUGAAUUUUUGUGAUUUUUCGGGGUUCGUUUGGACAUUUUUUUGCAUUAACUGAGUUUUCAAUGCAUUUAUGUGCAUAAUACAAAUUUGAACAAAUGCACAUGCUCCAGUGCAUAUAAAUUGGUUGAAAAAUCAAAUCUGUGUCCUUGGGUGCAUGCUUAGGUCCCAUGCAAGAAAUAGGAAUGAAUUUCAAACACCAAGGCACCGUUGAUUGUCGGCAAAACAUUGAGAUGCCUGGUUUUUAAAUUCGAGUAAAUCCAAAACUCGUCUGAAAUUCAUGAAACUUGGCAUGCUAUCAUGGAGCGGCAUCAACAUGCCGUGGUACAAAUUUUGUCCCAUUUGGGGCAGGUUUGGGUAUAAGCUUCUCACAAAAUGGAGCUUCUCACAAGAAGCGUGAUGGUUUUCGGUAAGGAACUUCCCACCUUUGGGGACAAAACGAUAUCCAUUGCCUCUUAUUGCUUACAAAUUUUUUUCUCGUGUAAAUAUAGAACAACAGGAAUGUUGUGUGAAUUUUUGUGAUUUUUCGGGGUUCGUUUGGACAUUUUUAUGCAUUAACUGAGUUUUCAAUGCAUUUAUGUGCAUAAUUCAAAUUUGAACUGCAUGCACAUUCUCAAGUGCAUAUAAAUUGGUUGAAAAAUCAAAUCUGUGUCCUUCGGUGCAUGCUUAGGUCCUAUGCAAGAAAUGGGAAUGAAUUUCAAACACCAGGGCACCGUUGAUUGCCGGCAAAACAUUGAGAUGCCUGGUUUGUAAAUUCUAGUAAUUGCAAAACUCGUCUGAAAUUCAUGAAACUUGGCAUGCUAUCAUGGAGUGGCAUCAACAUGCCGUGGUACAAAUUUUGUCCCAUUUGGGGCAGGUUUGGGUAUAAGCUUCUCACAAACCGGAGCUUCUCACAAACCGGAGCUUCUCACAACAAGCGUGAUGGUUUUCGGUAGGGAACGUCCCACCUUUGGGGACGAAACGAUAUCCAUUUCCUCUGAUUGUUUUCAAAAAAAUUCUCGUGUCAACAUAGAACAACAAGAGUGUUGUGUGAAUUUUCGGGAUUUUUUGGGGUUCGUUUGGACAGUUUUAUGCAUUAACUGAGUUUUCUAUGCAUUUAUGUGCAUAAUUCAAAUUGAACUACAUGCACAUGCUCCAGUGCAUAUAAAUUGGUUGAAAAAUCAAAUCCGUAUCCUUGGGUGCAUGCUUAGGUCCCAUGCAAGAAAUGGGAAAGAAUUUCAAACACCAGGGCACCGUUGAUUGCCGGCAAAACAUUGAGAUGCCUGGUUUGUAAAUUCAAGUAAAUCCAAAAUUCCGUUAACCAUUCACGUGACGCCACGUGUCUUGGUUUUAAUGGCUGCAGGAGGUGCCGUGCGGACAGCUGCUUGACCUUGACUGAACGGGAGGCGUGCGAGCUCCGUCCGGUGCGUAGGCUGACCGAGAGGCGUGUAAGCUGUCCUCGAGUGCGCAGGCUCACCGGGAAGCGUGCGAGCUGUACGCUGCGCAGACUCACUGGGAAGCGAGACCUUUGACUUCCAUGGCCGCCCGCCUUGCUCGCAUCCUCUCCAUUAAUGGCUCCCAAGCCGCAGUUUAAUUCGCUUUUUAAAUAUAAAACACUCAUCGCAAACGUUUUAGUUAGAACACUCGUAUGCAAACAUGCAGCUUCCUCAGGAAGCCAAGAGAAAAUGUGCCGAGCAGGAUUUCUGCAGCUCUUGAUUGCAAACGAUUUAGAUAGAACACCCGUAUGCAAAGUGAGAGCAGCGCAGGAUUUGUGCAUCCAUUCAACGCAAACGGUUGUUCUGGAUGACCCGUGUGCAACCACGUACAAACAAUUUGGUAAGAUUUGCAUCUGUAUAUUGGGUAUGUUGCCAUUUGUCAAACCGGAAAGAUUUACAUUUGUUGAUCUAGUAACGUUGCCAUUUGUCUCCUUGUAACACUGCGAUUUGUCAAAAUAUGCAGCUAGAAAUCAUUAGCACUAUGUAAUUUUUGCAACUAAAAUUCAGUAAUUAAGCAUAGAUUUCAUUCAUAGAUUAAGCAGUCGUUCUUAAUUUAUACAAACAGUUCAACUCGACAGCUGAACCGACCAAACUUCUCCCCAAUUGUUGCCAACCACGUACUGAAAUAGCUAGUUCAACUAUAUAUACUAGCUAAUUUUAAGUACGUUGUACAGUUCGACCACACAUCUAUAGUCAGAUGAACUUAACAAAAUAGCCCCUAAAUACUAUUACUACCACGGAGGGGCUUUGUGCUACUUCCGGCAGCCUCUCCUCUGCCGAGCGUGCUCAGUAAGAUUCUAAGGAGGAGGAGGAGCCUACCGACGAGCUGGACAAAUGCAAUACGGUGCCUGCCGCUGCUGCACGUUCAGCGAUGCUCGCCAGCUCGAACGCCCACUGCCGCUCCAGACGAUCCCUCUCGAAGCGGCCGGACUGCUCGUAGAUCUCCUGAUUCCUUGCCUCUGCGUCGGCGUGUGCUGCGGCCACGGCUGCGGUAAGGCUCUUUGCGUGCUCGACGAGCCGCUCCUCCUCCUCCCGCAGGAACUCGAUGUAGCGCGCAAGGUCGCUGAUGCACGUGCGAGCCUCCACCUCUGCCUCCCUCCUUCGGGCGGCGGUGGCGGAGUGGGUGAUGAUCCCGGCGGUCGACGGUGGGCUGGCGGCCACGACCAUCACCUCCCGCCUUCGGGCCGCGGUGGCGGAGCGGGUGAUGGCCACGGUGGCCGGUAGUGGGGUGGCGGCCACGACGGCCACCUCCCGCCUUCGGGCUGCGGCAGCGGAUUGGGAGAUGGCCCUGGCUAUCGACGGUGGUGUGGCGGCAACGGCGGCCGGCAACAGCUGCCGACGGGCAGCGGCGGCGGAGCGUGUGGUGGGUGUUCCGCGCACACCCAACAGGGACGCCACGCGCACUACACUACGCCGGGGACUGCGUCGCCGCCGCGGUGUAGCCUCCCAGCUGGAGCUGUCCUCUGAUGACGACAGAGUGGCUGAGCGACGACGAUGGACCGGUGCCAUUGGCGAUUAUGGGAGAAGCAGACGAGAUAAGCUACAGGGAGCGAGGGGAAAAUGCGACGCAGGACUCGCCGGCCGUCAGGGUUUUUAUAGCAGGCCGGUAAGCAUUGGGAUUUUGGGGGAUUUCACCGAGUCGGGCGGGAAGCUUGCGCGGGAACCUGCGAGGUUGCGUGGGAACGGGCUCACUGAUGAUUCAUUGGCGCCACCGUUUGGCUAAAAGAACGCCCCCGCGCGCUGCGCAAGAUUGCGCUGUAAGCCGUCUGCGGCAGCGGGGUGACAAGACGUGCGAGAGGAGGACGAGAGGACACGUACACAUACAGUUAAUAAAAAAAAAUGUUUGCAAUUUAAUUACCAACUAUACGCCUGUCCUGGUUUAUAAGUAGGAUUUAACUAAUAAAAUACGAAUGCAUGUCGCCAUAGAUUAUAUCGUUGGAGUCGUAUUUGAACAUAGUUUCUAGCUAUACAAUUUUUGUAACAUGCAUUAACACUUUUUUGGUUAAAUUUAAGUUAUACACCAGCACACAUUUGCCCGCAACACACACGGCUUAUAACAUCACAAACAGCUCUGAUGGAUCAACUGUCUGCCAUGUAUCACACACGCAACUCUAAUCUGAUUCGUGCUUGAUGUCUCCGACAUCGCUCACACAGUUCGUCUUAUUUGCCACGUAUCACUGUGCCGUCCUCUGCUCGCGUCCCUCGGCAAGCUCUGCUCGCCGUUAGGCACCACAACGCGCUGUGCUCGCCGUUAGGCACCGCGACACGCUCUGUCGCGUCCGUUGGCACGCUCUGCUCGCGUCCGUCGGCGCGCUCGGCUUGUGGAUAGCUUUUCCUUGAGGCGGCCACGGAGCACUCUGCUCGCGUCCCUCCGCUCUUGCUCUGCCAGUGGUGGGGCGUGCACACGAUCACGUCAGGGGCCCCAUAUGCAUGCGGUUGCGCCGCGCGCAUUGCCACGCGAUGCAGUUACCUGCGGCACAAUGGAGUUACGCGCUGCAAAUUAGAACUGCCAUCAGGGCCUGCCGAUAUUCCUGGCCGUCCGGCUUCCCCUUUAAUUCCCGCGGCCAUUAUAACCUUAGUCUCUUCAACCUUUCGAUCGCGCCCCACAACACAACAAGCACACCCACGACGACACAUAGAGAGGGGAUGGCCGGCGGCGCUCCAAUGGAGUUCGGCGAGCAUAGAGUGGAGACCCACGCGAGGGAGACAGAUCUCUCGGUGGUGUACACCAUCGACCCGGCCGUGGUGGACGACUACAUCAACAGCGUUGAGCAGUUGCUUGCUGGAGACAAGUACAAGGUGGUCGGCAUCGACCUUCGGUACACCGCCGGUCGUCUCGGCAUAGACCAGAAGGUUGCUGUCGCCCAGUUGUGCGUGCGCCAUCAUGUCCUCAUCUACCACUACUUCAUGGCCACAGAGCCUUGCGACCGUUUCAACAGGUUUGUCAACAGCACUGACUACAAGUUCGCCACGGUGGAUACCACCAACGAUUUUAAAAGCGCUCAGUGUUACGGGCUUGGCCUGCAAGAACCUUGUCAAAAUCCGUGACCACUACACGGUCUGGGGCAGCACGAAGAAGGACUCCCUGGUCGAACUCGCCUCGGCCAUCAUCGACCCCUACUACAAAAAGAUGAAGCAAGAUGCCCAGAGAACAAGUCCCGUAUCCUAGCAUGGGGCCUGGAUGCGGCAACUGGAUGAACUUCACCUCAGGUCUGAGGCCAAGAGCAUGUACACAUGCUACGAGAUGCACAGGCGGAUCGUUGACAUGAGGAAGUGCCUCGUUACCCAAAUCGACGAGCCCGGAUCGAGCCACAAGCAGAGCAAGCGUCACAAGAAGUAGAUGACGAUCAGAUGAUCGUUUAUGCUAGUUAAUCAUGCAUGUAAUAUAUAGUUUACUUUAUUGGUGUGUGGAAAUGUCAUGUGUGUAGUAGCCACCUAUGUAGUUAUGCAUGUAAUAGUUUACUUUGGUGUGUGCAAAUGCCAUGGUUGUAGUAGCCACCUAUGUAAGUGGAUGUUUAAUUUGGUUAUGCAAGCAUGUCCUUGUAACUGUGUAUAUAUAUAUGUUGUUGUUCUGUAUGCAAUCCCAUCGCACAACACACACGUCUUAUUAGCAGCAACCGUCUGUGUUAUCAUCGGUCUUCACACACAUUUCUGAUUACAGACCUGUUUGCCGCGUAUCACACACAUCUUGUUAAGUUGAACCGUUUCUGUUCUCAUGUCUGAACGCAAACAGUUCAUCCGAGUGAACCGCAUGCCAUAUAUCGCACACACCUUGAUCUGGCUGACCGUUUCUUUUGUGUUUCCUAAUCACAACCAGUUCAUCCGAGUGAACCGUAUGCUGUGUAUCGCACACGCCUUCAUCUGGAUGCCGUUUCUUUUGUUCCUCCUCAUCGCAAACAGUUAAUUGAACUGAACCGUAUGCCCUUCAUCGCACGCGCAACUAAAACCUGAACCGUGUUUGAUGCAUCCAUAAUCGCAAACGUUUUAUACAUUUCUGACGGUUUUCAUACAACACCGUUUGCGAUUAUUGCAUCGCACACAGUUUCUCGAAGGGUCUCUGAUCGUAGUGUCGCGUUAACAGCAUCCUGCAGUAGUGCUAGAUAUUUAAAUGAGCAUACAUAAAGCUUGCAAAUAGAAAGGAGUACAAAAGGGUACAACACAAAACGACUAAUUUUGCACUUGUCACGGGUGCUCAUAUUUUUUUGCCCAAAGAUGCAUACGGGUGCUCAUAUUUUGUGCUGACUUAGUAUAAUCAGCAUCUCAGAGGUGAUAACUGUUGGGGAUCGUUGCAGAAUUUUAAAAUUUUCUACGCAUCACCAAGAUCCAUCUAUGGAGUUUACUAGCAACGAGGGGAAAGGAGUGCAUCUACAUACCCUUGUAGAUCGCGAGCGGAAGCGUUCAAGUGAACGGGGUUGAUGGAGUCGUACUCGUCGUGAUCCAAAUCACCGAUGACCGAGCGCCGAACGCACGGCACCUCCGCGUUCAACACACGUACGGAGAAGCGACAUCUCCUCCUGCUUGAUCCAGCAAGGGGGAAGGAGAGGUUGAUGGAGAUCCAGCAGCACGACGGCGUGGUGGUGGAAGUAGCGGGGAUCCCGGCAGGGCUUCGCCAAGCGCAAGCAGGAGGGAGAGGUGUCACGGGGGAAGAGGGAGGCGCCAGGGACUAGGGUACCGCAGCCCUNNNNNNNNNNNNNNNNNNNNNNNNNNNNNNNNNNNNNNNNNNNNNNNNNNNNNNNNNNNNNNNNNNNNNNNNNNNNNNNNNNNNNNNNNNNNNNNNNNNNNNNNNNNNNNNNNNNNNNNNNNNNNNNNNNNNNNNNNNNNNNNNNNNNNNNNNNNNNNNNNNNNNNNNNNNNNNNNNNNNNNNNNNNNNNNNNNNNNNNNNNNNNNNNNNNNNNNNNNNNNNNNNNNNNNACCCCCAGGGUUUCCAACCCUAGGCGCAGGGGGAGGCCCAUGGGGGCGCACCAGCCCACUUGGGGCUGGUUCCUCUCCCACUUCAGCCCAUGGGGCCUUCCGGGAUAGGUGGCCCCACCCGGUGGACCCCCGGGACCCUUCCGGUGGUCCCGGUACAAUACCGAUAACCCCCGAAACUUUCCCGGUGGCCGAAACUCGACUUCCUAUAUAUAAUUCUUCACCUCCGGACCAUUCCGGAACUCCUCAUGACGUCCGGGAUAUCAUCUGGGACUCCGAACAACUUUCGGGUUUCCGCAUACUAAUAUCUCUACAACCUAGCGUCACCUAACCUUAAGUGUGUAGACCCUACGGGUUCGGCAGACAUGCAGACAUGACCGAGACGCCUCUCCGGUCAAUAACCAACAGCGAGAUCUGGAUACCCAUGUUGGCUCCCACAUGUUCCACGAUGAUCUCAUUGGAUGAACCACGAUGUCGAGGAUUCAAUCAAUCCCGUAUACAAUUCCCUUUGUCAAUCGGUACGUUACUUGCCCGAGAUUCGAUCGUCGGUAUCCCAAUACCUUGUUCAAUCUCGUUACCGGUAAGUCACUUUACUCGUACCGCAAUGCAUGAUCCCGUGGCUAACUCCUUAGUCACAUUGAGAUCAUUAUGAUGAUGCAUUACCAAGUGGGCCCAGAGAUACCUCUCCGUCAUACGGAGUGACAAAUCCCAGUCUCGAUCCGUGCCAACCCAACAGACACUUUCGUAGAUACCCGUAGUGUACCUUUAUAGUCACCCAGUUACGUUGUGACAUUUGGUACACCCAAAGCACUCCUACGGUAUCCGGGAGUUGCACGAUCUCAUGGUCUAAGGAAAUGAUACUUGACAUUGGAAAAGCUCUAGCAAACGAACUACACGAUCUUUUGUGCUAUGCUUAGGAUUGGGUCUUGUCCAUCACAUCAUUCUCCUAAUGAUGUGAUCCCGUUAUCAAUGACAUCCAAUGUCCAUAGUCAGGAAACCAUGACUAUCUGUUGAUCAACGAGCUAGUCAACUAGAGGCUUACUAGGGACACGUUGUGGUCUAUGUAUUCACACAUGUAUUACGAUUUCCGGAUAACACAAUUAUAGCAUGAACAAUAGACAAUUAUCAUGAACAAGGAAAUAUAAUAAUAACCAUUUAUUAUUGCCUCUAGGGCAUAUUUCCAACAGUCUCCCACUUGCACUAGAGUCAAUAAUCUAGUUACAUUGUGAUGAAUCGAACACCCAUACAGUUUUGGUGUUGAUCAUGUUUUGCUCUAGGGAGAGGUUUAGUCAACGGAUCUGCUACAUUCAGUUCCGUAUGUGCUUUACAAAUAUCCAUGUCUCCAUUUUGAACACUUUCACGAAUGGAAUUGAAGCAACGCUUGAUAUGCCUGGUCUUCCUGUGAAACCUAGGCUCCUUGGCAAGGGCAAUAGCUCCAGUGUUGUCACAGAAGAGAGUCAUCGGGCCCGACGCAUUGGGAAUCACCCCUAGGUCGGUAAUGAACUCCUUCAUCCAGAUUGCUUCUUGCGCUGCCUCUGAGGCUGCCAUGUACUCCGCUUCACAUGUAGAUCCCGCCACGACGCUUUGCUUGCAACUGCACCAACUUACUGCCCCUCCAUUCAAAAUAUACACGUAUCCGGUUUGUGAGUUCGAGUCAUCCAGAUCUGCGUUGAAGCUAGCGUCGACGUAACCCUUUACGACGAGCUCUUCGUCACCUCCAUAAACAAGAAAUAUAUCCUUAGUCCUUUUCAGGUACUUCAGGAUAUUCUUGACCGCUGUCCAGUGUUCCAUGCCGGGAUUACUUUGGUACCUUCCUACCAAACUUACGGCAAGGUUUACAUCAGGUCUGGUACACAACAUGGCAUACAUAAUAGACCCUAUGGCCAAGGCAUAGGAGAUGACACUCAUCUUUUCUCUAUCCUAUGCCGUGGUCGGGCAUUGAGCCGUGCUCAAUUGCACACCUUGCAAUACAGGCAAGAACCCCUUCUUGGACUGAUCCAUAUUGAACUUCUUCAAUAUCUUGUCAAGGUACGUACUCUGUGAAAGACCAAUGAGGCGUCUUGAUCUAUCUCUAUAGAUCUUGAUGCCUAAUAUAUAAGCAGCUUCUCCAAGGUCCUUCAUUGAAAAACACUUAUUCAAGUAGGCCUUUAUACUUUCCAAGAAUUCUAUAUCAUUUCCCAUCAAUAGUAUGUCAUCCACAUAUAAUAAGAGAAAUGCUACAGAGCUCCCAUUCACUUUCUUGUAAACACAGACUUCUCCAUAAGUCUGUGUAAACACAAAUGCUUUGAUCAUCUCAUCAAAUCGAAUGUUCCAACUCCGAGAUGCUUGCACCAGCCCAUAGAUGGAGCGCUGGAGCUUGCAUACCUUGUUAGCAUUCUUAGGAUCGACAAAACCUUCCGGCUGCAUCAUAUACAAUUCUUCCUUAAGAAAGCCGUUAAGGAAUGCCGUUUUGACGUCCAUUUGCCAUAUCUCAUAAUCAUAGAAUGCGGCAAUUGCUAACAUAAUUCGGACGGACUUCAGCUUCGCUAUGGGUGAGAAAGUCUCAUCGUAGUCAACCCCUUGAACUUGUCGAUAACCCUUAGCGACAAGUCGAGCCUUAUAGAUGGUCACAUUACCAUCUGCGGCUGUCUUCUUCAUAAAGAUCCAUUUAUUUUCUAUGGCUCGCCGAUCAUCGGGCAAGUCAGUCAAAGUCCAUACUUCGUUUUCAUACAUGGAUCCUAUCUCGGAUUUCAUGGCUUCUAGCCAUUUGUCAGAAUCCGGGCCCGUCAUCGCUUCUUCAUAGUUCGAAGGUUCACCGUUGUCUAACAACAUGAUUUCUAGGACAGGGUUGCCGUACCACUCUGGUGCGGAACGUGUCCUUGUGGACCUACGAAGUUCAGCAGUAACUUGAUCCGAAGCUUCAUGAUCAUCAUCAUUAACUUCCUCCCCAGUUGGUGUAGGCACCACAGGAACAUCUUCCCGCGCUGCGCUACUUUCCGGUUCGGAAGGGGUGACUAUCACCUCAUCAAGUUCCACUUUCCUCCCACUUAAUUCUUUCGAGAGAAACUCUUUCUCCAGAAAGGACCCGUUCUUGGCAACAAAGAUCUUGCCUUCGGAUCUGAGGUAGAAGGUAUACCCAAUGGUUUCCUUAGGGUAUCCUAUGAAGACGCAUUUUUCCGAUUUGGGUUCGAGCUUUUUAGGUUGAAGUUUCUUGACAUAAGCAUCGCAUCCCCAAACUUUUAGAAACGACAACUUAGGUUUCUUCCCAAACCAUAAUUCAUACGGUGUCGUCUCAACGGAUUUCGAUGGAGCCCUAUUUAAAGUGAAUGCGGCAGUCUCUAAAGCAUAGCCCGAAAAUGAGAGCGGUAAAUCGGUAAGAGACAUCAUAGAUCGCACCAUAUCCAAUAGAGUGCGAUUACGACGUUCGGACACACCAUUUCGCUGAGGUGUUCCAGGCGGCGUGAGUUGUGAAACGAUUCCACAUUUCCUUAAGUGUGUGCCAAAUUCGUGACUUAAAUAUUCCCCUCCACGAUCUGAUCGCAGGAACUUUAUUUUCCUGUCACGUUGAUUCUCAACCUCACUCUGAAAUUCCUUGAACUUUUCAAAGGUUUCAGACUUGUGUUUCAUUAGGUAGACAUACCCAUAUCUACUUAAAUCAUCAGUGAGAGUGAGAACAUAACGAUAGCCACCGCGAGCCUCAACACUCAUUGGACCGCACACAUCAGUAUGUAUGAUUUCCAAUAAGUUGGUUGCUCGCUCCACUGUUCCGGAGAACGGAGUCUUGGUCAUCUUACCCAUGAGGCAUGGUUCGCAUGUGUCAAAUGAUUCGUAAUCAAGAGACUCCAAAAGUCCAUCUGCAUGGAGCUUCUUCAUGCUUUUGACACCAAUGUGACCAAGGCGGCAGUGCCACAAGUAUGUGGGACUAUCGUUAUCAACUUUACAUCUUUUGGUAUUCACACUAUGAAUAUGUGUAACAUCACGUUCGAGAUUCAUCAAGAAUAAACCAUUGACCAGCGGGGCAUGACCAUAAAACAUAUCUCUCAUAUAAAUAGAACAACCAUUAUUCUCGGAUUUAAAUGAGUAGCCAUCUCGAAUUAAACGAGAUCCAGAUACAAUGUUCAUGCUCAAAGCUGGCACUAAAUAACAAUUAUUGAGGUUUAAAACUAAUCCCGUAGGUAAAUGUAGAGGCAGCGUGCCGACGGCGAUCACAUCGACCUUGGAACCAUUCCCGACGCGCAUCGUCACCUCGUCCUUCGCCAGUCUCCGCUUAUUCCGCAGCUCCUGUUUUGAGUUACAAAUAUGAGCAACCGCACCGGUAUCAAAUACCCAGGAGCUACUACGAGUACUGGUAAGGUACACAUCAAUUACAUGUAUAUCACAUAUACCUUUGGUGUUGCCGGCCUUCUUGUCCGCUAAGUAUUUGGGGCAGUUCUGCUUCCAGUGACCACUUCCCUUGCAAUAAAAGCACUCAGUCUCAGGCUUGGGUCCAUUCUUUGACUUCUUCCCGGCAACUGGCUUACCGGGCGCGGCAACUCCCUUGCCGUCCUUCUUGAAGUUCUUCUUACCCUUGCCUUUCUUGAACUUAGUGGUUUUAUUCACCAUCAACACUUGAUGUUCCUUUUUGAUCUCCACCUCCGCUGAUUUCAGCAUUGAAUAUACCUCAGGAAUGGUCUUUUCCAUCCCCUGCAUAUUGAAGUUCAUCACAAAGCUCUUGUAGCUUGGUGGAAGCGACUGAAGGAUUCUGUCAAUGACCGCGUCAUCCGGGAGAUUAACUCCCAGCUGAGACAAGCGGUUGUGUAACCCAGACAUUCUGAGUAUGUGCUCACUGACAGAACUAUUUUCCUCCAUUUUACAACUGAAGAACUUGUCGGAGACUUCAUAUCUCUCGACCCGGGCAUGAGCUUGGAAAACCAUUUUCAGCUCUUCGAACAUCUCAUAUGCUCCAUGUUUCUCAAAAUGCUUUUGGAGCCCCGGUUCUAAGCUGUAAAGCAUGCCGCACUGAACGAGGGAGUAAUCAUCAGCACGUGAUUGCCAAGCGUUCAUAACGUCUUGGUUCUCUAGGAUGGGUUCUUCACCUAGCGGUGCUUCUAGGACAUAAUCUUUCUUGGCAGCUAUGAGGAUGAUCCUCAGGUUCCGGACCCAGUCCGUAUAGUUGCUGCCAUCAUCUUUCAGCUUGAUUUUCUUUAGGAACGCGUUGAAGUUGAGGACAACGUGGGCCAUUUGAUCUACAAGACAUAUUGUAAAGAUUUUAGACUAAGUUCAUGAUAAUUAAGUUCAUCUAAUCAAAUUAUUCAAUGAACUCCCACUCAGAUAGACAUCCCUCUAGUCAUCUAAGUGAAACAUGAUCCGAGUUAACUAGGCCGUGUCCGAUCAUCACGUGAGACGGACUAGUCAAGAUUGGUGAACAUCUCCAUGUUGAUCGUAUCUUCUAUACGACUCAUGCUCGACCUUUCGGUCUUCCGUGUUCCGAGGCCAUGUCUGUACAUGCUAGGCUCGUCAAGUCAACCUAAGUGUAUCGCGUGUGUUCCGAGGCCAUGUCUGUACAUGCUAGGCUCGUCAACACCCGUUGUAUGCGAACGUUAGAAUCUAUCACACCCGAUCAUCACGUGAUGCUUCGAAACAACGAACCUUCGAACACUUUCUUGAAAUUAUUAUAAGGGAUCAUCUUACUUACUACCGUCGUUCUAAGAAAAUAAGAUGCAAAACAUGAUAAACAUCACAUGUAAUCAAAUAGUGACAUGAUAUGGCCAAUAUCAUUUUUCUCCUUUGAUCUCCAUCCUCGGGGCGCCAUGAUCAUCUUCUUCACCGGCAUGACACCAUGAUCUCCAUCAUCGUGUCUUCAUGAAGUUGUCACGCCAACGAUUACUUCUACUUCUAUGGCUAACGCGUUUAGCAAUAAAGUAAAGUAAUUUACAUGGCGUUAUUCAAUGACACGCAGGUCAUACAAAAAAAAUAAAGACAACUCCUAUGGAUCCUGCCGGUUGUCAUACUCAUCGACAUGCAAGUCGUGAUUCCUAUUACAAGAAUAUGAUCAAUCUCAUACAUCACAUAUAUCUCAUUCAUCACAUCCUUUUGGCCAUAUCACAUCACAAGGCAAAUGCUGCAAAAACAAGUUAGACGUCCUCUAAUUGUUGUUGCAAGUUUUUACGUGGCUUCUAGCAAGAACGUUUCUUACCUACGUAAAACCACCACGUGAUAUGCCAAUUUCUAUUUACCCUUCAUAAGGACCCUUUUCAUCGAAUCCGUUCCGACUAAAGUGGGAGAGACAGACACCCGCUAGCCACCUUAUGCAACUAGUGCAUGUCAGUCGGUGGAACCUGUCUCACGUAAGCGUACGUGUAAGGUCGUUCCGGGCCGCUUCAUCCCACAAUACCGCCGAAACAAGAUAAGACUAGUAGUGGCAAGAAAAAUUGACAACAUCUAAGCCCACAACUGCUUUGUGUUCUACUCGUGCAUAGUAACUACGCAUAGGCCUGGCUCAUGAUGCCACUGUUGGGGAUCGUUGCAGAAUUUUAAAAUUGUCUACGCAUCACCAAGAUCCAUCUAUGGAGUUUACUAGCAACGAGGGGAAAGGAGUGCAUCUACAUACCCUUGUAGAUCGCGAGCGGAAGCGUUCAAGUGAACGGGGUUGAUGGAGUCGUACUCGUCGUGAUCCAAAUCACCGAUGACCGAGCGCCGAACGGACGGCACCUCCGCGUUCAACACACGUACGGAGCAGCGUCGUCUCGUCCUUCUUGAUCUAGCAAGGGGGAAGGAGAGAUUGAUGGAGAUCCAGCAGCACGACGGUGUGGUGGUGGAAGUAGCGGGGAUCCCGGCAGGGCUUCGCCAAGCGCAAGCGGGAGGGAGAGGUGUCACGGGAGGGAGAGGGAGGCGCCAGGGGCUAGGGUACAGCAGCCCUCCCUCCCCCCUUUAUAUAGGCCCCCUGGGGGGCGCCAGCCCUGGGAUCCCAUCUAUGGGGGGGGGGGCGGCGGCCAAGGGGGGGAACUUCCCCCCCAAGUCAGGUGGGGCGCCCCCACCCCCAGGGUUUCCAACCCUAGGUGCAGGGGGAGGCCCAUGGGGGCGCACCAGCCCACUAGGGGCUGGUUCCCCUCCCACUUCAGCCCAUGGGGCCCUCCGGGAUAGGUGGCCCCACCCGGUGGACCCCCGGGACCCUUCCGGUGGUCCCGGUACAAUACCGAUAACCCCCGAAACUUUCCCGGUGGCCGAAACUGGACUUCCUAUAUAUAAUUCUUCACCUCCGGACCAUUCCGGAACUCCUCGUGACGUCCGGGAUCUCAUCCGGGACUCCGAACAACUUUCGGGUUUCCGCAUACUAAUAUCUCUACAACCCUAGCGUCACCGAACCUUAAGUGUGUAGACCCUACGGGUUCGGGAGACAUGCAGACAUGACCGAGACGCCUCUCCGGUCAAUAACCAACAGCGGGAUCUGGAUACCCAUGUUGGCUCCCACAUGUUCCACGAUGAUCUCAUCGGAUGAACCAUGAUGUCGAGGAUUCAAUCAAUCCCGUAUACAAUUCCCUUUGUCAAUCGGUACGUUACUUGCCCGAGAUUCGAUCGUCGGUAUCCCAAUACCUUGUUCAAUCUCGUUACCGGUAAGUCACUUUACUCGUACCGCAAUGCAUGAUCCCGUGGCUAACUCCUUAGUCACAUUGAGCUCAUUAUGAUGAUGCAUUACCGAGUGGGCCCAGAGAUACCUCUCCGUCAUACGGACUGACAAAUCCCAGUCUCGAUCCGUGCCAACCCAACAGACACUUUCGUAGAUACCCGUAGUGUACCUUUAUAGUCACCCAGUGUCACGACCGGAUUUUUGGGAUAAUAAUUUCCCAGAAAAAAAGGCCUUUGUGCUCACCAGCCCCAGGAUUACUGUUAGCUGAUGAGGCACCAACUUGAUACAAGAAUUCCAAGCAAGGUACAAAAAUAUGUAGUACAAGACCAUUGAGGCCUAGGAGUACAACACUUGGUUUCUAAUGGUUGAGGGCGGAAGCGGUUGGUACAUCUACGUCUAUGGGACUCCAUUUCCCACAAGAACAGCUGACCAGGAUAACUCCUAUCUUCGCAAGGCUGCUAUCGUCAACACGUAGGCUCCGAGGUUGUCAUCGCGAUGCUUAUCUCCAAGCAAGGGAUCUGGCCAAGACAAUAGCCAGGGACAAGCCAGUGAGUACGUUUGAAUGUACUCGCAAACAUUAAGAACACGGGUAUAAUAUAAUACGGGACAAUCAUACUCCGAAAUAAUUAUGAUCACACGUCUGCCGCGAAAGUCUGCGUUGUUCGCAUGCAGAGAUAAUAUGAACAUACAGUACGUGGGUGAGUACUAUGAAAGUACUCGCAAGAUAGCUCGAACAUAAGAUAUAACAAAAGUAAACACGAUGCAUGCAGAGAUAAUAUGAACAUACAGUACGUGGGUGAGUACUAUGAAAGUACUCGCAAGAUAGCUCGAACAUAAGAUAUAACAAAAGUAAACACGAUGCAUGAGAAAAGAUUUAACAAGUGCAAUCAGACAUAGAGGUAAUGAUGCAUGGGAAACAAAAGAGAAGUCGGGCGGUAGUCCUCCCGAAGUCCAAAAAUAAAAUACUGGGUGCCAAACGAGGGUCUAAAUGACUCCUCGAGAGGAAACUGCAGGGAUAAUAAUGCCGCAGUCGGGCGUCGGGGCGACACCACAUAAAGGGCUCAUAAGAGAUAAAUAAACAACAAGCAUGCCGCAGUCGGGCGUCUGAGCGACACCACAUAAAGGGCUUAUAAAAGAAUAAUCACAGUGAGUAACCAGGAGAUAGAACCAUCCCAGGGGUACUCAAUAAAAUACAUAAUGUAAAUGGUUAGUCCACAAUAAUAACAAAAUUUAAGUAUGAUCCUCAGAUGCCACAGGACAUAAACACAAAAUCUAGUUUAGCCGUUUCUCCAUCCGAAGACCGUCACUGAGUUCUAGCUAAUUCGUUCUCCAUCCAAAUACCGUUACUAUGAUCCAGUUAGCCGUGUCUCCAUCCGAAAACCGUUACUAAGUUUAACUCAGACUGUGGUCCUUACUCAAGAUCAUGGCUAUCCAACAGGAUAUAUCCUCUGCAGAGGGGGUACUGUUUUCCCACGAGUAACGGAUUUACUUAGUCCAUCGGGACUAACUCCGCCUACGGCCUUUUAAUUGAAAACACGCCUGACCUGCACACACCAGCUUAACUCACCGAUGUCUGGAAUCACCCACGACACCUGCCAAGCAAAACUCUAAGUGGGGAGGCUACAACCUCGACGUACCAUGGGAUCAAAUUUCUAUAUGCGCGCUCUAAGGGGUGCCCCCCUCUCGGUCCCAACCGGAAACACCCAGGCCCCCGGACCAAGUGGCAUGCCUACCGGAGGCCUCCGGUAUCUUCCACUAUGGCCUCUCUGUACGGUGUGUGCUUUGGUAAGGGGUUGACAACUUACUGAACCAUACCCCGUCUGCGACAGGGACAAGUGGUGGUACCAACAAAUAGGGAAGCUACUGACCAAGACUCGACCUACGACCGACUCAGGUGGUCCAAGUAUCCUCCAACAAUAUUACCAUUAGUGGAAUAAAUCACCACUCAACAAGCCUCUCCAUGCCGUACCGGACAUACUCGUCUCGACGAGGGACUAGGGACAAGCUCGUGUCUACCCAAGACCACGACUUUCCCGGCUUCCUUAAGGUAUGCAUGAGGAGCUUACGAGAAUGAUCCAAAUCACUAGUGUAUCCACUGCUGACCACAAAAAUAUCUCCAAAAAGCACUCAUGCACGAGACUUUAUCGUUACAUAAAGAUAACAUAUAAUCCAAGCCAGAAGGUGUUGUAAUUGUAUCAAAACACCACAACAAAAUAUUAUGCCAGAGUUCAGAAAUGCUUGCCUUCAAGAGUAUGCAAAGAAUACACUUUUUUAAAAGCCUUCCCUUCUCUCCAAAAUUCCUAUUUGAGAAAUAUCCAAAUAACAAAUAUUACCAACACAGUACAAAAAGUUGUCUCAAAUAUUUUUGAAAUAAAUCUUAAAAUAAACUAGGUGGAAUUUGAGAGAGGUAGGAAAAAGAAUCAACUCAUUUGGAGUUUAUUUUAAAAGUUAUAGCUGGUCAAAGUCUGGUCAAACUCUGUUUUUAAAUAAAACCAGAAAAAGGAAAACGCUUCGAGGGGAAUACGCUUUCGGGGUAGGGGAGACGUACUCCGUGGGUACACGCUUUCACUUAAACGGAGGAGAUGGCGCGCGGGUCACGGACAGUGGGUCCAGAGGGCCCACUGGUCAGGUUUGACCGUUCCUCCCCCUCCCUCCUCUUCCCUGCCCGACGGGGGCGGGACUCCGGCGAUCGCCGGCGACGAACGGCGGCUCCUCGAGGGCAUCUGAGGGCAGGGAUGGACUGGCCAGACCGAGGCGGUCCCCUUGGUGGUAGCUGGGUCGUCGGAGGUGGAAGGAAUCGCCGGCGGCGAGCUCCGCGACGGAGGGGGCUACGGUGGUGAAGUGGUUUUUGGGCUCCGGUGGUCUCCGAUCGAGGUUGGGUAGUUGGGCAGCUCCGCAAGGACGAGGGGAAGUUACUGGUGGCGUCGGUUGGGCGAAAGAGUGGCUGGCUGCGACGUAUUGCACCGGAGUUUGGCGGCGGUCGAACUGGUCGGAGUUGGGGAAGAUGGCCACUACGGGUCGAUCCACUGCUUGGGGAGCGCUAGGAGGAAAGUCUGAGGUCGCCUGGGGUCUUGAACGAGCUCGGGGCUCCCUUAAAUAGGUGCUCGAGGCUGGACCACGGCGGCUGGAUAAGAACGACGACGAGUCACCGUUUCUGUAGCUGCAGGGCGCCGUGGCGGCGACGAACGCGUGCCGACGAGCUUCGGGAUAAGAUCGAGCUAUUCACAGGGGCAGCUGGCGCGCUGGUGUGGUUUGGGCGGUGCCGAACAUGGCAGAGGCCGCUGCCGACGCCGGCGUGCCGCCAAGGGCGCUGCCAGCGGUGCUGCAGGGCGCCAGAGAUGGUGUGGAGAGGAGGCGAGCUAGUGCGUGGUUCAGCGAUGGAGCAGGGGCCAGGGACGGGUCGCGUCGAGUGUGGCAGUGCGGCGCGGCGGCUCAGUGCGCGCGCGUGCAAAACGUGCGCUCUGGGCGCGCCCAGAGCAUGCACGGAACCUGCUCGACGAAAUGCCAGGAUGGUCUAGAGCGCGAGGGUGGAGCUGGCAAUUAACAGGAUUAGGAUAGAGACAGCCAGGAGUUCAGUGGACAAGGUUGCUGGGUUAAUGGAGCAAGUUCAUAGUGCAAACAAAGAACUCAUGCCAAAACAGACUGUGCACACCAAGUGUUCGACAGAAUGCCAAAUGCACUUAGGCAACUCUUGGAGUGGCCAAAAUCUCCAGAUCAGGGUCUCUUUAGGUGCAGAAGAUGGUGGCAAGAUCAUAUGGGCAAAACCAGAAAGUUGUUAGUGCAAGUUUUGCAAAACUUCAGUUUUGGACAGAGAGAAAAAGGGUUUAUUGCAUGCACUUCAAAACCUCCAAUGAGUCCACUCUCCUGGACUUAAGGGUUUUGAAGGGAGGGCUACAAGUAGGAAAAAGGGUCAUGGGCACCAAAGCAAAAUAAAAUAGGGUUGCAGUUCAAAUCACCAAACUGGACCAGAAUGAAAAAGAGGUUGAUUCACUCAAUUUUCUCAAAGAACAUCACUGGGUUUUUGCAUGAAGAUGAAUUGUAUGCAUCCACUAACAUCUCCAAACACUUGGAAGAAUUUUUAAAGAAAUAUUUAAAUGGGUUGUAGUGCAAAAGUGCCUUCUGGACCAGAUUGGAAAAGUUGGUGUAGAGCUCAAAAUCUCCAAUGGCCAAAAGGUAUUUUAGCAUAAAAGUGAUGUGGAAACACCACAUGACAUCCCCAAAUUUUGGUGGAAAUUUUAAUUGCAUUUGUCAAAUGGUUGUAGUGCAAAACAGGCUCCAAAUGCAAAAGAAAUCAUUUUAAGAGAAUAAAGCUCUGAGAAAACAAAUCUUGCAAUUUAAAUCCACUGAUAAAUAAUUGUUUUAUUAAAGAGAGUAUUCAAGUCCAACAAUACUCUUUGAAGGUUUUUCCACUAGAGGCAAAAAUCCAAAAUCACAAAGGGUAAAUCUUGACAAAAUGGAAAAGUUUUAUUUCCUGGCAACAUUUUAAUAAACAAAACAAGGUCAAAAUUUUGGGUGUCACACCCAGUUACGUUGUGACGUUUGGUACACCCAAAGCACUCCUACGGUAUCCGGGAGUUGCACGAUCUCAUGGUCUAAGGAAAUGAUACUUGACAUUGGAAAAGCUCUAGCAAACGAACUACACGAUCUUUUGUGCUAUGCUUAGGAUUGGGUCUUGUCCAUCACAUCAUUCUCCUAAUGAUGUGAUCCCGUUAUCAAUGACAUCCAAUGUCCAUAGUCAGGAAACCAUGACUAUCUGUUGAUCAACGAGCUAGUCAACUAGAGGCUUACUAGGGACACGUUGUGGUCUAUGUAUUCACACAUGUAUUACGAUUUCCGGAUAACACAAUUAUAGCAUGAACAAUAGACAAUUAUCAUGAACAAGGAAAUAUAAUAAUAACCAUUUAUUAUUGCCUCUAGGGCAUAUUUCCAACAAUAACCAUACACAAAGCUCGGUUAUCACAAAGCUCGCAAAUACUUUCGUUGAUAGAGCAUCUAUUAUUUUAUGAAUACACAGAGCUUGCAAAAAAAUACAAUAAAGGUACAACACAAAACACAAGAAGAAAUAGAACAUUUUCACUAGACGAGCAGUAUUAUUUUGUGAAUAUGCAAAGCUUACAAAUAAAAGAGUAUAAGAAAGGCAACACAAAACGCAAAAAAGGCACAAAUAAGUAUGCUCCAAGGAGAGAGAUAUGGUAUGCUCAGCUCGGUCCAAACAAAGCAAAACAGAAUUAAACCCUUUUAGCCCAGACUCUAGCCAUGGAAGGUAAGGAGCCUCGAGAGUGCCUCGAGAUUGGCAAAUAGGCUGGAGGAUCCAUGAAAGACAAAGAGCAUUGAGACUACCUAGAGAUCAACAAGUAGACUGCACAUCAACAAGUAGGCUACAUAAGUUGCCAUCGAGAUUGCCUACAGAUCAAAGACAAAUGCCAUGAGGAAAGUGUCGGCGAAGUCAUACAUUGCACCCUAGAUGUCCAUGCCUUGAGAGGAAGCCUGAACCAACGUGACAUCCAAUAUCCCUAGAUCCAACGUGCAAACAAGACAACGCCUUCAAAAAAUAGAGUGAUGUGUCGCCAUCCUCUAUGUUCGGACCUAGGGUUCCCCCCUAUGCUUGAAGAGAGGCCCAGAUAAAUGACAUGGCAACACCUCCAAGAAGGGGAUGACAGUCGCGAGUGUCACCGAUGUCAGCAUCGGCAACCGAGUAAGGAUAUAUCUUUGGUAUGAGUCUAAGCAAUCUCAUAUCCAUAAAAAAGAUAGGAAAAAUAUCCAGAGACGAGGAAAUCACGUCGUUGUUCAGAACCGCCACCACAAGAAGGGGAGGUGCGCCUGUUGCCGCAAGGCUGCACUAGUGUUGGAAAUACGCCCUAGAGGCAAUAAUAAAGUGGUUAUUUUUAUAUUUCCUUGUUCAUCAUAAUCGUUUAUUAUCCAUGCUAUAAUUGUAUUGACCGGAAACUCAAAUACAUGUGUGGAUACAUAGAUAACAAAUUGUCCCUAGUAAGCCUCUAAAGGACUAGCUCGUUGAUCAAUGGCUAUGGUUUCCUAGUCAUAGACAUGAUUUGUCAUUUGAUAACGGGAUCAUAUCAUUAGGAGAAUGAUGUGAUGGACAAGACCCAAACUAUGAACGUAGCAUAUGAUCGUGUCAAGUUUAUUGCUAUCGUUUUCUGCAUGUCAAGUAUAUGUUCCAAUGACCAUGAGAUCGAACUCACUGACACCGGAGGAGUACCUUGUGAGUACCAAACGUCGCAACGUAACUGGGUGACUAUAAAGGAGCUCUACAGGUAUCUUCGAGGGUGUCUGUUGAGGUUGCAUGGAUCAAGACUGGGAUUUGUCACUCCGUAUGACGGAGAGGUAUCUCAGGGCCCACUCGGUAAUACAACAUCACAAUAAGCUUGCAAGCAAUGUGACUAAAGAGUUAGCCACGGGAUCUUGUAUUACGGAACGAGUAAAGAGACUUGUCAGUUACGAGAUGAACUAGGUAUGGAGAUACCGAAGAUCGAAUCUCGGGAAAGUAACAUACCAAUAGACAAAGGGAACUGCAUGAAGGAAAUAUGCCCUAGAGGCAAUAAUAAAGUUGUUAUUUUAUAUUUCCUUAUUCAUGAUAAAGGUCUAUUAUUCAUGCUAGAAUUGUAUUGAUCGGAAACCUAAAUACAUGUGUGAAUACAUAGGCAAACACCGUGUCCCUAGUGAGCCUCUACUUGACUAGCUCGUUGAUCAAACAUGGUUAAGGUCUCCUAACCAUGGACAUGAGUUGUCAUUUGAUAACGGGAUCACAUCAUUAGUAGAAUGAUGUGAUGGACAAGACCCAUCCGUUUGUUGGGAAACGUAGCAUGCAAUUUCAAAAAUUUCCUACGCUCACGCAAGAUCUAUCUAGCAGAUGCAUAGAAAUGAGAGGGGAGAGUGUCUCUACGUACCCUCGUAGACCGUUAAGCGGAAGCGUUUAUCACGCGGUUGAUGUAUUCAUACUCUUCACGAUCCGAUCACGGUCCAAACGUUCUAGUGCCGAACGGACGACACAUCCGAGCUUAGCACAUGUGUGGCUCGAUGAUGUCUCCUCCUUCUUGAUCUAGCAAGCGGGAGAGGAGAAGUAGAUGGGAUCACAACCAACACGACGGCAUGGUGGUGAUGGUCGUGGUGGAACACCGACAGCGCUUCGCUAAGCGUCACCGGGACGAGGCGGUGGAACUACGGAGUAACGGGAGAGAGAGGGGCACCAAGGGCUUGGUGUGUUCUCUUGGGGCACCCCCUCCCCUCUAUAUAUAGGUGGAGGGGCGUGGUAAACAUCCCCUCCAAGCCCUAGGGCGCAGCUAAGGGGGAGAGGACUUGGACUCCAAGUCCAAUCCUAUUCCUACUAGGACUCCUUCGUUUUUUGCAUUCCCUAGCCACAUGGGCUUGUGAGGACUUGGCGCGCUUAGCCCAAUAAGGCCAGGGCGCCUCCCCACAGCCCAUGCUAACCCUUGGGUCGUGGUGGAACCACUUGUGGACUUCCGGACCCCUCCAGAACCUUCUAGAAGCUUCCUGAUACAAUACCGAAAAAACUGCAUCUUUUUCCGAAACCCAAAAUAUGACUUCCCAUAUAUAAAUCUUUACCUCUCGGCCAUUCCGAGACUCCUCGUGACGUCCGGGGUCUCAUUCAGGACUCCGAACAGCAUUUGGUUACCACUCAUCAAAUAUCCCAAUACUACUCUAGCGUUAACGAACGUUAAGCGUGCGACCCUGCGGGUUCGGGAAUUAUGUAGUCAUGACCGAGACACUUCUCCGGUCAAUAACCAACUUCGGAACCUGGAUGCUCAUAUUGGCUCCUACAUAUUCUACGAAGAUCUUUAUCGGUCGAACCGUUAUGACAACAUAAGUUAUUCCCUUUGUCUAUCGGUAUGUUACUUGCCCGAGAUUCGAUUGUCGGUAUCUUCAUACCUAGUUCAAUCUCGUUACUGGCAAGUCUCUUUACUCGUUCUAUAAUACAUCAUCCCGCAACUAACUCAUUAGUCACAUUGCUUGCAAGGCUUAUUAUGAUGUGCAGUACCGAGAGGGCCCAGAGAUACCUCUCCGAUACUCGGAGUGACAAAUCCUAAUCUUGAUCUAUGCCAACCCAACAAACACCUUCCGAGAUACCUGUAGAGCAUCUUUAUAAUCACCCAGUUACGUUGUGACGUUUGAUAGCACACAAGGCAUUCCUCCGGUAUCCGGGAGUUGCAUAAUCUCAUAAUCGAAGGAAUAUGUAUUUGACAUGAAGAAAGCAAUAGCAAUAAACUGAACGAUCAUUAAGCUAAGCUAACGGAUGGGUCUUGUCCAUCACAUCAUUCUCCUAAUGAUGUGAUCCCGUUCAUCAAAUGACAACACAUGUCUAUGGUUAGGAAACUUAACCAUCUUUGAUUAACGAGCUAGUCUAGUAGAGGCUUACUAGGGACACAGUGUUUUGUCUAUGUAUCCACACAUGUAUCAAGUUCCGGGUUAAUACAAUUCUAGCAUGAAUAAUAAACAUUUAUCAUGAGAAAAAGAAAUAUAAAAUAACAACUUUAUUAUUGCCGCUAGGGCAUAUUUCCUUCAGUCUCCCACUUGCACUAGAGUCAAUAAUCUAGUUCACAUUGCCAUGUGAUUGAAAACCAAUAGUUCACAUCUUUAUGUGAUUAGCACCCAAAAAGUACUAAGGUGUGAUCAUGUUUUGCUUGUGAGAGAAGUUUAGUCAACAGGUGUGCCACAUUCAGAUCCGUAUGUAUUUUGCAAAUUUCUAUGUCUACAAUGCUCUGCAUGGAGCUACUCUAGCUAAUUGCUCCCACUUUCAACAUGUAUCCAGAUUGAGACUCAGAGUCAUCCGGAUCAGUGUCAAAGCUUGUAUCGACAUAACCCUUUACGACGAACUCUUUGUCACCUCCAUAACCGAGAAACAUUUCCUUAGUCCUCUUUAGUUACCUAAGGAUAAUUUUGAUCGAUGUCCAGUGAUCUACUCCUGGACCACUAUUGUAUCCCCUUGCUAAACUCAUGGUAAGGUACAUAAUAGGUCUGGUAUACAGCAUGGCAUACUUUAUAGAACCUAUGGUUGAGGCAUAGGGAAUGACUUUCAUUCUCUCUCUAUCUUCUUCCGUGGUCGAGUUUUGAGUCUUACUCAACUUAAUACCUUACAACUCAGGCAAGAACUUCUUCUUUGACUGAUCCAUUUUGAACUCCUUCAAAAUCUUACCAAGGUAUGUACUCGUUGAAAGUCUUAUCAAGCGUCUUGAUCUAUCUCUAUAGAUCUUGAUGCCCAAUAUGUAAAUAGCUUCACCGAGGUCUUUAUUUGAAAACUCAUUUCAAACACUCCUUUUUGCUUUCCAUAAAAUUCUACAUCAUUUCCGAUAAACAAUAUGUCAUUCACAUAUACUUAUAAGAAAGGCUGUAGUGCACCCACUCACUUUCUUGUAAAUACAGGCUUCACCGCAAGUCUGUAUAAAACUAUAUGCUUUGAUGAACUUAUCAAAGCGUAUAUUCCAAGUCCGAGAUGCUUGCACCAGUCCAUAGAUGGAUCGCUGGAGUUUGCACACUUUGUUAGCACCUUUAGGAUAGACAAAACAUUUUGGUUGCAUCAUAUACUGUUGGGAAACGCAGUAAUUUCAAAAAAAAAUCAUACAAUCACGCAAGAUCUAUCUAUGUGAUGCAUAGCAACGAGAGGGGAGAGUGUUGUCUACGUACCCUCAUAGACCGAAAGCGGAAGUGUUAUGACAACGCGGUUGAUGUAGUCGUACAUCUUCAUGAUCCGACCGAUCCUAGCACCAAAGGUACGGCACCUCCGCGAUCUGCACAUGUUCAGCUCAGUGACGUCCCACAAACUCUAGAUCCAGCUGAGGUCGAGGGAGAGUUUCGUCAGCACGACGGCGUGAUGACGGUGAUGAUGAAGUUACCAACGUAGGGCUUCACCUAAGCACUACAACGAUAUGACCGAGGUAGAAAUUUGUGGAGGGGGGCACCGCACACGGCUAAGACAACUGUCAACUUGUGUGUUCUAGGGUCCCCCUGCCCCCGUAUAUAAAGGAGCAAGGGGGAGGCCGGCCGGCCCUCAUGGGGCGCUCCCCAAGUAGGAUUCCUACUAGGAAUCCUAUUCCUAGUAGGUUUCCAACAAGGGAAGAGAGGGGGAAGGAAGGAGAGGGAGAGUGGGAGAAGGAAAGGGGGCGCCGCCCCCUUCCCUAGUCAAAUUCAGACCCAAGGGGGAGAGGGCGCGCGGCCUGCCCUAGCCGCCCCUCUCUCUCUCCACUAAGGCCCAUGUGGCCCAUUAGUUCCCCCGGGGGGUUCCGGUAACCCUUCGGCACUUCGGUUUUAUCCGAAACUUCUUCUGAACAUUUCUGGUGUCCGAAUAUAGUCCUCCAAUAUAUCAAUCUUUAUGUCUCGACCAUUUCGAGACUCCUCGUCAUGUCGGUGAUCACAUCCGGGACUCCGAACUACCUUCGGUACAUCAAAACACAUAAACUCAUAAUACCAAUCAUCACCGAACGUUAAGCGUGCGGACCCUACGGGUUCGAGAACUAUGUAGACAUGACCGAGACUCACUUCCGGUCAAUAACCAAUAGCGGAACCUGGAUGCUCAUAUUGGUUCCUACAUAUUCUACGAAGAUCUUUAUCGGUCAAACCGCAUAACAACAUACGUUGUUCCCUUUGUCAUCGGUAUGUUACUUGCUCGAGAUUCGAUCGUCGGUAUCUCAAUACCUAGUUCAAUCUCGUUACCGGCAAGUCUCUUUUCUCGUUCCGUAAUGCAUCAUCCCACAACUAACUCAUUAGUCACAUUGCUUGCAAGGCUUAUAGUGAUGUGCAUUACCGAGAGGGCCCAGAGAUACCUCUCCGUAACAUGGAGUGACAAAUCCUAAUCUCGAUCUAUGCCAACCCAACAAACACCAUCGAAGACACCUAUAGAGCAUCUUUAUAAUCAUCCAGUUACGUUGUGACGUUUGAUAGAACACUAAGUGUUCCUCCGGUAUUCGGGAGUUGCAUAAUCUCAUAGUCAUAGGAACAUGUAUAAGUUAUGAAGAAAGCUAUAACAAUAAACUAAACGAUCAUAGUGCUAAGCUAACGGAUGGGUCAAGUCAAUCACAUCAUUCUCUAAUGAUGUGAUCCCGUUCAUCAAAUGACAACACAUGUCUAUGGUUAGGAAACUUAACCAUCUUUGAUUAAUGAGCUAGUCAAAGUAGAGGCAUACUAGUGACACUCAGUUUGUCUAUGUAUUCACACAUGUACUAAGUUUCUGGUUAAUACAAUUCUAGCAUGAAUAAUAAACAUUUAUCAUGAUAUAAGGAAAUAUAAAUAACAACUUUAUUAUUGCCUCUAGGGCAUAUUUCCUUGAGUCUCCCACUUGCACUAGAGUCAAUAAUCUAGAUUACAUUGUAAUGAUUCUAACACCCAUGGAGUCUUGGUGCUGAUCAUGUUUUGCUCGUGAGAGAGGCUUAGUCAACGGGUCUGCAACAUUUAGAUCCGUAUUUAUCUUGCAAAUCUCUAUGUCCCCUUCCGACACCUGAUGACGGAUGGAAUUGAAGCGUCUCUUGAUGUGCUUGGUUCUCUUGUGAAAUCUGGAUUCCUUCGCGAAGGCAAUUGCUCCAGUAUUGUCACAAAAGAUUUUCAUUGGACCCGAUGCACUAGGUAUGACACCUAGAUCGGAUAUGAACUCCUUCAUCCAGACUCCUUCAUUUGCUGCUUCCGAAGCAGCUAUGUAUUCCGCUUCACACGUAGAUCCUGCCACGACGCUCUGCUUAGAACUGCACCAACUGACAGCUCAACCAUUCAAUAUAAACAUGUAUCCGGUUUGCGACUUAGAGUCAUCUAGAUCAGUGUCAAAGCUUGCAUCGACAUAACCAUUUACGACGAGCUCUUUGUCACUGUCGGUCUCAAAACCGACGGAUCUCGGGCAGGGGGUCCCGAACUGUGCGUCUAGGAUCGAUGGUAACAGGAGAUGGGGGACACGAUGUUUACCUAGGUUCAGGCCCUCUCUAUGGAGGUAAUACCCUACUUCCUGCUUGAUUGAUCUUGAUGAAUACGAGUAUUACAAGAUUUGAUCUACCACGAGAUCGUAAUGGCUAAACCCUAGAAGUCUAGCCUAUAUGAAUAUGGUAAUGAAUAUCCGUCCAUCCGGACUACUGCCUCCGGUUUAUAUAGACACCGGAGGGAUCUAGGGUUUACAUAGAGUCGGUUACAUAGGAGGGAAUCUUCAUAGUUGAUCGCCAAGCUUGCCUUCCACGCCAAGGAGAGUCCAAUCCGGACACGGGUAUAGUCUUCGGCCUUCAUAUCUUCACAACCCAUCAGUCCGGCCCAUAGAUAACAGGCCGGAUGCCCGAGGACCCCUUAGUCCAGGACUCCCUCAGUAGCCCCUGAACCUGGCUUCAAUGACGAGGAGUCCGGCGCGCAGAUUGUAUUCGGCAUUGCAAGGCGGGUUCCCCUUCUUCCGAACUCCAGGAUAGUCUUCGGAUGCGAUGAUUUGUAUCCGGACCCGUAUACACAAUUGUAGAGGAUAUAAUAUUUUGCGAGUCUCUUCUGCUCACCACUGUUUAUGACAUUGCAUUAUGCCUGCCCGGUCAUUACUUCCAUCCGCUGGCUAGCCCCUCGCCCCACGUCUCGGGGCACGGUUUUAUUGGCACGUCUUGUCAAAGCAGGGAUCGUGUCCCUUAUUCACAGAAUUUUCUAUAAUGUAGGCGUGGGUAACCCAACCGUCCCUCGGUACAACUCCUCGAGGAUAAGUAAGUUUCGAUACCCAGGAGGGGACGCUCAAUAUUCUGGGCCUUUAUAUAGGGACCCAGACUUGUCUUUUUCUUUUGCGCUUGCUUCUUCCUCAACCCCAGCCACCUCGAGUUCCAGCCCUCGGGUUCCAAUCACCACCAGGCCCAAUCACGUCCGGGUCUAGACGUUCAGGCCAGUGGGUGGCCUCUUCUGUCACAGGGGAGGACAUUGCGAAGCUCCGCCAGGCGAGGUAUCUGACCCCAGAAAUCCUUCAUCGGCUUCCCGCCGAGGGGUAGGUUAUUCCUACCCCCAAAUCUGGCGAGAGGGUAGUAUUUGUGUCCCACUUCCUCCAUGGGUUAGGGUUCGCGCUUAACGCCUUCGUCUGGGGGCUCAUGUUCUACUAUGGGCUAGAUUUUCACAAUCUGACCCCGGGCUCUAUUCUUCUCAUCUCAACAUUCAUCGUCACGUGUGAGGCCUUCCUCCGGACUCCCCCGCACUUUGGUUUGUGGCUCAAGACUUUUAAUGUGAGGCCGCGGGUGGCAGAGGAGGAACAGGCAGAGUGCGGCAGCGUCGCAAUAGGCAAGCUUGCCGACGCGGUUUGGUUUGAAGGGUCCUUCGCCGAGUCUUCCGAUAUGUGGCAGCAGGGGUGGUUUUAUAUCAAUGAGCCACGGGGCCCCAAGUGGGCGGCUACGCCUGCAUUUCAACGCGGCUCUCUGAUUCAGCUUGCUUCAUGGAUCAAUAAGGGAUUGGAUUGGGGAUCUGUCGAUGAAGUGCGGACUCUGCAAAGUCGCAUCCGGAGCCUCUCCGAGAAGGGCAUUGACCUUGUGAAUGUCGUUCAAGUAAUGCUAGUCCGCCGGACCCUGCCAUGUCAGCGGCGGCCUCUCCGUAUGUGGGAGUUUAAUCCAGAAGGGAGGCGGACUCUUCAGCACUCCUUCGGUGCUACGCACGAAGGAAUGUAGAAAUUAUAUUUCGGGGAGCGAGAGCAAUGGCCAGACACUACCGAAGACGUUGUCCUUGACUGCAAUCAUUCGGACACUUCGGUAAGUAUUCAAUCUUCGAACACCUUCCAUUCAAGCAUCUCUUGAUAAGAUACUGAACAAUCCGUCCCCAUACAGGACUGGAUAAAGAAAGCGGUGUUAAUCUGGUGUCCGGCGCCCCUUCCCGAAGAUUCUGCGACCGCCCUGCUGACGAGGAUGCUGACUCCGACACCGUACCAGGUGUCUGCAGAGGGGGGCGAGAGCAGGGAACUCAAAGGUGAUGCCUGCCCUGAGGAUGGUGUGUUCGGGGAAACUGAAACCCUUUUGCCCAGGGGGAAAGGUGUAGAGGGUGCCUUCCAUGGCAAGAAGAGGGCCGCUUCCGGAGGUCAGGAGGGGAAGCUUUCCAAGAGAGGAAAAACGCCAUCGUUGGGCGGCCCGGGCCGGGCAAGCGAUGUCGCCGCAGAGCUUUAUGAUGAGGGUAAACCUCUGGCCGAACCGUAAGUGAAACUGGGGCACUUUAAACAUACCUCGUCCUUUUCCUGUUUAGUGAAGUAAUCAUCCGCAUAUGUGCAUCCUCGCAGGAUAACGCCUGGUUUUUCUCAAUCGCCCUCCUCCUCGGGGGACCUUCUUCCGGAGAUGAUGGAGAGUGACAUGCCUUCUCCGGCCUCUUCGCCCAACAGGGCAGACGAUCUUGAGGUAUCGUCUCGGAGGGCUCCUCCCGAUCCACCAGUAGUGCCGGAAACGAAGAAGGCGUUUCCCGAAGGUGGGGCAUCUGUCACUCAGAGUUCUGGAAUGAAGAAUGAUGGCCCUGAGCCGUCCGGUUUGCAGCCGGAGGCGAUUCUAGAGGUGAGUAAACGGGUUCUUUCAAAGGAUUGCCGUACUUCGGCGGCGGUUUCCGAAGACCCCUGAGCGCCGGAAAUGCUGACGGACAUGCUGCGAUGAGCGUCCGUUUCAGAGGAGCACCGUGCCUUGAUGGCUACGGUGGUCGAAAAGGUUCUAUCCGCGAAGAGCGGGUUGAACGAGGCCUUUAUGAGCCUUCUCAGAGGUUUUGAGGUUUGUGAUGUAGUUUUGCCAACGGAACUUUAUUGGCAGAAUGCACCUGUUGUAUAUGCAGUAGCCCCUGAGACUCGGAUUGCCUUCCAAAGGAGGCGAUCGGAGGAUCGAAAAGAUAUGCUCAGGUACUAACCUUGAUUUAACAUUGACUGCAGGCUGCCUCCCCUUCAGCGGCUACACGGAAUACGGAAGUGGCCAAACUACAGCGAAAGCUGGUUAUUGCAGGGGAUGACAUUGCCUUGAUCAACAGGCGUCUUGACGACUCGCAAGGUAUAUAUUUCGAGCAUUCCUUACACCAAUGUGCUUACAAUUGAAGCUUGACUCUGAAAAGAGUUUUAUAUGUAAUGUGCAUGAAUGCAGAUGGUGCUACCGCCGUGGAGGCCCUUCGAGCGGAGCUAGCCCGGGCCAAGGAGCAGGCCUGGUUAAGUUAUGCGGCUGCCGAAAAGGCAUCGGCUGAGUUAAAAGCCGAACAAGUUGCACGACACCGAGACAAGGAGAAGAUGUCCACCAUGGCUCACUAAUUAGAGAAUGCGGCUAGCCGCUGUAAACUUCUUGAGAAGGAAAAUGAAGCCAAAACGGCUGAUCUUGACAAGGCCUUACGAGAGGCGAGAGAGGCACGAUCUAAAUCCAGAGCGGCCCAUGAGGAGAUCCGGCAAGCUGGGGAGAUUGCGGCUGGCAAGCCCUUUUUGCUACAGACUAAGUUCGGUGAUCCGAACUAUGCUCAGCUUAACCAAGUAUGGAGUUCUUCGGACAAAUUUUUUGACUUACCGAAGAGUUCUUCCGAUGCGGCGCAGUUUUACUGCGCACAAGAGGGGUAUGCCACGGAGAGGCUCUUCUGGUCGCAAUUUGGCGCGUCAAAGCGCCCUCUGUUGCUGAAUGAACAGAUGUCCCAGUGGGCCGAGCUUCAUAGGAUAUCCGGCGACGCCAUGAAGAACGUCGUAAUCCGGCUGUGGCCAAGUGAGCCUGUUCCGAGUAGUUAUUUUGUCCUGGUGCGGCGGCUUGUUGACGCAGUGCCACAUAUCGAUGCUGUGAAGCGAUGAGCAUGCAUUGAGGGUGCACGGAUGACGGCUGCCCGAGUCAAAACUUUUUGGGGAAAGAUGAAGGCCGUCGAUGUUGUGGCGAGGAGUCCACCCAAGGGCAAGGACCGUUAUGAGCCGGAGCACUAUUUUGAAGACGUCCUGGAAGCCGCCAGCCUGAUAGCGGGUCAAUGCUCGAAGAACAUAAUGUUUGAGUGAGGUGUAUUAGAAUUGUAAGAGACAAUUUUAUAAUUGAUCUAUUUUAUGUUUUUGCUCGAAAGCUUGAAUUCCUCCUGUGCGGCCGUUUUAAUAUGAUCUGAAAGUUUUCCAGUCGUCGGCUUCAGCCCCCUCAUAGGAAGUACGGGGGUGUUCGGAAAAGCAUUGAAUCACUCUUUAUCCAACGUCAUGGUCCAUGAAGGAGGUGAUAAUGCAGCGAACCAGGCAAUCGGACUAUAAGGCGUUAACACUUUCACUUAGCCAUAGGAGUUUUAUCAUGGGGUUACGACAUAGCCCCUGGUAUGUAUACGGUGCAUUGUAAUGUCGUGCCUUACAUAUUUUGAUCUAAAAAGAUCCUUCGUGUGACACGGAGAAUCACUAAAGAUUCGAGUAAGUCGUCAAGUGGUUGACCAGCUCUCGCCGCAUCAUGACAGUCAGUUUUCGGCUUUCUCUACUGAGGUGCUCAUCCGGUCUAGGCCAGGGCACAAUCGCAGUAGUUCUCCCUUUACUACCCUAGCCGAUAGAGCGGAACGUAGGGUAGCAAGCACGGGAGCCGGGCAACCCAACUAUUGACCAAAGACAAUGAUUCGGAGCUGAUGCAUAUAAGGCCAAACUUGCAACGCCGAAGUGCGUUAUAGAGCUGUUCGGACUUUUACUGGCGACACAUUUGUUCCCAUACCGGGCCCUUGGCGAGUUAUGUCGAGGUGCGUCUUGUAAGGCAGCCGUUACGACCGGACUCAUUGUAGAAAUAGCACGGAAGAUUAGUUCGGGUAAAGUUUACUGGGAACGGAGCAAUAUGCCAAUGAUGAAUGUAUAUAAAAAGUAGAAAACCACAACCCGGCUAUUUGACAUGCUCGGGGUUGGGAACGGAGGAAAAAAGGCAUAGUACAGGCUCAAAAUAACGAGUGCGGUCUACAAAAGCUUGUUUUGGACCUCCUGUCUCAUGUCUGCGCCGCCCAUCCUUGGGGAGGGGGAAUCCUUAACGGAAGUGACCCCUUGGGUGAGUGUAUGGAUACGAACUCCGGUGGAGUCCGAUGUAGGUACUGUCCUGAGGUCACCUGUUUUUAAGAGAUAAUAAAUAAAAGUAAGGAAAACAGAUAAAAACGUUACGGGAAUUCUUGCAGGGUUGUCCGUAUUGUGCUUCCGCCGAUGCCCAUGGUAUCUUGAGCGCGUAGUGAUGUAUGCGUGGUGUAAAUCCUGCCAAUAUAGUGGCUGGGCGGCGGAAGCCGGACUGCUAUUUCCGUUCCAGGAGUGGUCGAACUUCGGAGGGAAACUGUUUCUGGCCCCUGGUGUUCAGCUGGAGAGCCGCUCCGCUGUUUUUAUUGCCUGGUGGCCUCCUCCCCUCGUGCUUGGCAUUAAGCUUGCCUGCCUGCUUGAAGACCCAACAGUUUCUGUUGGUGUGAUUAGCUGGCUUAUCAGGAUGGCCGUGAAUUUGACAAGGUCGGUCCAAUAUCCUGUUGAGGGUGGAUGAUCCAUCCUGGUUUGCCUUAAAUGGCUUCUUCCGUUGACCGGGUUUCGGAUUGUUAAAUCCGGCGUUGACCGCUGUGUCGCCUAAUAUUUCAUGACUGUUGCGACUAUUGUGUUCGGUUCGUCGUGGCUUGCCGUUGCCGUCUCGGAUUUCGGAGGUGCCCGGGCCACUGGCGUUGUUGCUUUUAUGAGCGAGCCAGUUAUCUUCUCCCGCGCAAAAGCGGGUCAUUAGGGUGGUGAGGGCUGUCAUGGAUUUGGGUCCUUCCUGACCGAGGUGACGCGCUAGCCAUUCAUCCCGGACGCUAUGUUUGAAGGCCGCGAGGGCUUCUACGUCCGGACAAUCGACAAUUUGGUUCUUUUUAAGUAAGAACCUAGUCCAGAGCUCCCUGGCUAACUCGCCGGGCUCCUGGACAAUAUGACUUAAGUCAUCAGCAUCUGGUGGCCGGACAUAUGUUCCUUGGAAGUUGUCUUGAAAGGCCUCUUCCAGAUCUUCCCAGCUGCCAAUGGAAUUUUCUGGCAGACUGUUUAGCCAGUACCGAGCCGGCCCUUUAAGCUUUAGUGGUAAGUAUUUAAUGGCGUGAAGGUCGUCUCCGCGAGCCAUGUGAAUGUGGAGGAGGUAAUCCUCAAUCCAUACCGCAGGAUCUACUGUUCCAUCGUAUGAUUCGAUGUUAAUGGGUUUAAACCCGUCUGGAAAUUCAUGCUCCAUUACCUCGUCAGUGAAGCAGAGAGGGUGUGCGGCUCCUCUAUGUUGGGCCACACUAUGAAGCACUUCCGGCGGACGCUGUUUAGGGUGUUCGGACCGGGCGUGGUCGGCUCUGCUGUGUCCGAAUAGGUAACCCUCAUUGCCGGUCAGGGCAUGUCCGCGCAAUCUGUGUAUUGAUUUUGUGUGUCCUGUUCUACCUUCCAGGUCUUGUUGGAUGUCGCAACUGUUCCCCCUAGCUGGUUUAUUCUUGCUUUGCCGGCCGGAUGGGUUGGUAUGGUGUUCUGCUUGGGCUGCUGCUUUAUCUGGACCGAACUGUGAUCAUCCUACCGCAUUAUUUGAUGGUUGUAUGGGCUCCAACACCCUGCCAUCGUAUUGAGGGAGCCACUUGUACUUGGGGUGGCUUUUGUCUGGGCCGCGAAGGCUGAAUUCUUCGGCGGUCACGACCUUGGUCCAUCUAUCAUUGAGCAAAUCUUGACUUGCUUGAAGCUGCAGCCGACGUUUAAAGCGCUCCUGCUCAAGAGGUUCCUCGGGCAUGAUAAAAUCCUCGUUGCCAAGGCUCUCCUCAUCCUCGGAGGGUGGGAGAUAAUUACUAUCCUCCGAGUCUUCAUAUUUGGCCUGUCCAUUGAGGCUGUCUUGCCCGCUUUCCUGUUCCUCCUGUUCGGAUUCUACCUCAACAAGGUCUUCGUUGUUCGGAGUGUUGUAUUCUCUGGUGCUAGCAAUGAUUUUCCUUAGGCGGUGUGACUUGGAGCGGCGCCGUGGGCGCCGGUGUUCGGACUGUUUACCAGGAGGUUUGUCCUCGACUGGAUCCUCCUUGUGAUCGUCGAGUGCGUCGUCAGGUGUGUCUAUCAUACACACGUCAUACCAGGAAGUGGCAAUCCUGUGUUUGGCGGGUGGUAAGCUCUGUACCUGCACCUCAUCAUCGUCCAUACCGUCGAUGUCUUCGGAGUGAAGGUCAUGUUGGAAAUAUGCCCUAGAGGCAAUAAUAAAUGGUUAUUAUUAUAUUUCCUUGUUCAUGAUAAUUGUCUAUUGUUCAUGCUAUAAUUGUGUUAUCCGGAAAUCGUAAUACAUGUGUGAAUACAUAGACCACAACGUGUCCCUAGUAAGCCUCUAGUUGACUAGCUCGUUGAUCAACUGAUAGUCAUGGUUUCCUCACUAUGGACAUUGGAUGUCAUUGAUAACGGGAUCACAUCAUUAGGAGAAUGAUGUGAUGGACAAGACCCAAUCCUAAGCAUAGCACAAAAGAUCGUGUAGUUCAUUUGCUAGAGCUUUUCCAAUGUCAAGUAUCAUUUCCUUAGACCAUGAGAUCGUGCAACUCCCGGAUACCGUAGGAGUGCUUUGGGUGUACCAAACGUCACAACGUAACUGGGUGACUAUAAAGGUACACUACGGGUAUUUACGAAAAUGUCUGUUGGGUUGGCACGGAUCGAGACUGGGAUUUGUCACUCCGUAUGACGGAGAGGUAUCUCUGGGCCCACUCGGUAAUGCAUCAUCAUAAUGAGCUCAAUGUGACUAAGGAGUUAGCCACGGGAUGAUGCAUUACGGUACGAGUAAAGUGACUUACCGGUAACGAGAUUGAACAAGGUAUUGGGAUACCGACGAUCGAAUCUCGGGCAAGUAACGUACCGAUUGACAAAGGGAAUUGUAUACGGGAUUGAUUGAAUCCUCGACAUCGUGGUUCAUCCGAUGAGAUCAUCAUGGAACAUGUGGGAGCCAACAUGGGUAUCCAGAUCCCACUGUUGGUUAUUGACCGGAGAGGCGUCUCGGUCAUGUCUGCAUGUCUCCCGAACCCGUAGGGUCUACACACUUAAGGUUCGGUGACGCUAGGGUUGUAGAGAUAUUAGUAUGCGGAAACCCGAAAGUUGUUCGAAGUCCCGGAUGAGAUCCCGGACGUCACGAGGAGUUCCGGAAUGGUCCGGAGGUGAAGAAUUAUAUAUAGGAAGUCCAGUUUCGGCCACCGGGAAAGUUUCGGGGGUUAUCGGUAUUGUACCGGGACCACCGGAAGGGUCCCGGGGGUCCACCGGGUGGGGCCACCUAUCCCGGAGGGCCCCAUGGGCUGAAGUGGGAGGGGAACCAGCCCCUAGUGGGCUGGUGCGCCCCCCAUGGGCCUCCCCCUGCGCCUAGGGUUGGAAACCCUGGGGGUCGGGGGCGCCCCACCUGACUUGGGGGGGAAGUUCCCCCCCUUGGCCGCCGCCCCCCCCAUAGAUGGAUUCCAGGGCCGGCGCCCCCCAGGGGGCCUAUAUAAAGGGGGGAGGGAGGGCUGCUGUACCCUAUCCCCUGGCGCCUCCCUCUCCCUCCCGUGACACCUCUCCCUCCCGCUUGCGCUUGGCGAAGCCCUGCCGGGAUCCCCGCUACUUCCACCACCACGCCGUCGUGCUGCUGGAUCUCCAUCAACCUCUCCUUCCCCCUUGCUGGAAGAAGGAGGAGACGUCGCUGCUCCGUAUGUGUGUUGAACGCGGAGGUGCCGUCUGUUCGGCGCUCGGUCAUCGGUGAUUUGGAUCACGACGAGUACGACUCCAUCAACCCCGUUCACUUGAACGCUUCCGCUCGCGAUCUACAAGUGUAUGUAGAUGCACUCCUUUCCCCUCGUUGCUAGUAAACUCCAUAGAUGGAUCUUGGUGAUGCGUAGAAAAUUUUAAAAUUCUGCAACGAUCCCCAACAGUGGCAUCAUGAGCCAGGCCUAUGCGUAGUUACUAUGCACGAGUAGAACACAAAGCAGUUGUGGGCGUAGAUGUUGUCAAUUUUUCUUGCCACUACUAGUCUUAUCUUGUUUCGGCGGUAUUGUGGGAUGAAGCGGCCCGGACCGACCUUACACGUACGCUUACGUGAGACAGGUUCCACCGACUGACAUGCACUAGUUGCAUAAGGUGGCUAGCGGGUGUCUGUCUGUCCCACUUUAGUCAGAACGGAUUCGAUGAAAAGGGUCCUUAUGAAGGGUAAAUAGAAAUUGGCAUAUCACGUUGUGGUUUUACGUAGGUAAGAAACGUUCUUGCUAGAAAUCUAUAGAAGCCACGUAAAAACUUGCAACAACAAUUAGAGGACGUCUAACUUGUUUUUGCAGCAUGUGCCUUGUGACAUGAUAUGGCCAAAAGGAUGUGAUGAAUGAGAUAUAUGUGAUGUAUGAGAUUGAUCAUAUUCUUGUAAUAGGAAUCACGACUUGCAUGUCGAUGAGUAUGACAACCGGCAGGAGCCAUAGGAGUUGUCUUUAUUUUUUUGUAUGACCUGCGUGUCAUUGAAUAACGCCAUGUAAAUUACUUUACUUUAUUGCUAAACGCGUUAGCCAUAGAAGUAGAAGUAAUCAUUGGCGUGACAACUUCAUGAAGACACGAUGAUGGAGAUCAUGGUGUCAUGCCGGUGACGAAGAUGAUCAUGGCGCCCCGAAGAUGGAGAUCAAAGGAGCAAAAUGAUAUUGGCCAUAUCAUGUCACUAUUUGAUUACAUGUGAAACGAUACGAUUGUCUUUCUUCCAGCUGUGAAAGAGCAGGUUGAGGCUCUGAAAAAACUCCUGGUAGACUAUGCUGCGUCCAUUGGGUUACGACUCAAUUUUCAGAAAUCAACCCUGAUUCCGAUUAAUGUUACGCACGCGGAGGCACUGGAUUUUGCGGACAUGUUUGGUUGUGUUGUGGGGAAAAUGCCAUUCACAUAUUUAGGGCUCCCGCUUGGAACUACUAAACCCACAAUAAUGGAUUUCAUGCCUCUUGUGACAUCCGUUGAGAGAAGAGUCUCUAUGGCCGCUAACCUGCUAGACUACGGAUCGAAACUCACCUAUGUUAAUUCGGUGGUGUCAUCGCUUAUGGUGUAUGCCAUGUGUUCACUCAGAAUCCCUCCUAAGAUAGUGGAACACCUGGAUAAAAUCCGUAGGCAAUGCUUCUGGAGCAGGAAGACGGAGGAUGGGACAAAGAGCACCUCUCUUGCCUCUUGGGAGCUCGUCUGCCGCCCCAAGGCUGUAGGGGGACUUGGGAUUGUGGACCUUAAACUUCAGAAUCAAGGCCUUUUGCUCAAACAGUUAUACAAGUUUUACAAUAAACUAGAUGUGCCAUGGGUGAACCUGAUAUGGAGUGCAUACUACUCAGUCGUUGUACCGCAUGCCUCGGAACCAUGUGGCUCCUUCUGGUGGCGGGAUCUCAUGCAGUUAUCAGACAUCUUCAGAGGGGUGACUAAGAUCAAAGUUGGGGACGGUAGUACAGCCUUGUUCUGGAAGGAUCUUUGGAUUGAUCAACCACUAGAGACCGCAUGCCCGAGGGCGUUUUCAUUUGCGAGAGAAGAGGAUAUGUCAAUACAGACUUUGCUGAGAUCUAGCACCAUUGGAGAGGCUUUUCACAUACCAUUCUCUCCUCAGGCAAGAGCAGAAGUUGAAGAGAUUCAGGCUUUAACUGUGAGGAUUAAUCCCGACAGUGACACAAAUGACAAAUGGUGUUGUGUCUGGGAUGCUAGAGAGCUAGGAGCUUUCAAAUCAAGUGACUACUAUAAGUUCUGCUUUAAAGAUGUUAUUGUGGAUGCAGUUUUUCCUUGGAUCUGGGAAUCCAAAUGCACGAACAAAUGGAAAGUUUUUGCUUGGCUACUGUUUGCUGACCGUCUGAAUACUCGAAACAUGUUGAGGAGGAGGCAGUAUAAAUUGGAAGGUGAUGUGUACACCUGUCUGCUUUGUGGCACGCCCCCGGAGGAAACAGUGACCCACCUAUUCUUCAAAUGCCCAUUUGCAACUGAAUGUUGGUCUGCGAUUGGAAUGCACUGGCAUGAUUCCCAAUGCAGGCUGGAUCUCAUCCAUGAGGGAAGAAGAUCCUGGGGUGGUCCAUUAUUCAUGGAAAUCUUCAUCAUAGCAGCUUGGGGGUGUGGAAAGAGAAAUAAUAAACAUUUUAGGAAUGUGAUGCCAUCAAUGGAAUCCUAGAGAGGCAGGUUCAAAAAUGAUAUGUCCAUGAUGGUACACCGCACCAGAAACUCUCUCCACCCCUUCAUCAGAGGAUUGGUGGGCACUCUCUGAUCUCUACCACCCCCUAGUUUGCUUCUUUCUAGUAGGUUUUGACACCUCUUUGCUCUAACUAGUCUGUAUUGUACUACUCAUCUAUAUACCUUGUAACUAGGGGGCCACACCUCCCCUGAUCCUGGUGUUGCAUUAAUUUAAAAGUCAGUAGGAGCCUCUCCUACUGUCAGAGCUUUCAAAAAAAACAUGUGAUGUUUUUCAUGUUUUGCAUCUUAUUUGCUUAGAACGACGGUAGUAAGUAAGAUGAUCCCUUAUAAUAAUUUCAAGAAAGUGUUCCCCCUAACUGUGCACCGUUGCGAAAGUUCGUUGUUUCGAAGCACCACAUGAUGAUCGGGUGUGAUAGAUUCUAAUGUUCACAUACAACGGGUGUUGACGAGCCUAGCAUGUACAGACAUGGCCUCGGAACACAUGCAAUACACUUAGGUUGACUUGACAAGCCUAGCAUGUAUAGACAUGGCCUCGGAACACGGAAGACCGAAAGGUCGAGCAUGAGUCGUAUAGAAGAUACGAUCAACAUGGAGAUGUUCACCGAUCUUGACUAGUCCGUCUCACGUGAUGAUCGGACACGGCCUAGUUAACUCGGAUCAUGUUUCACUUAGAUGACUAGAGGGAUGUCUAUCUGAGUGGGAGUUCAUUGAAUAAUUUGAUUAGAUGAACUUAAUUAUUAUGAACUUAGUCUAAAAUCUUUACAAUAUGUCUUGUAGAUCAAAUGGCCCACAUUGUCCUCAACUUCAACGCGUUCCUAGAGAAAACCAAGCUGAAAGAUGAUGGCACCAACUAUACGGACUGGGUCCGGAACCUGAGGAUCAUCCUCAUAGCUGCCAAGAAAGAUUAUGUCCUAGAAGCACCGCUAGGUGAAGCACCCAUCCCAGAGAACCAAGACGUUAUGAACGCUUGGCAAUCACGUGCUGAUGAUUACUCCCUCGUUCAGUGCGGCAUGCUUUACAGCUUAGAACCGGGGCUCCAAAAGCGUUUUGAGAAACAUGGAGCAUAUGAGAUGUUCGAAGAGCUAAAAAUGGUUUUCCAAGCUCAUGCUCGGGUCGAGAGAUAUGAAGUCUCCGACAAGUUCUUCAGUUGCAAAAUGGAGGAAAAUAGUUCUGUCAGUGAGCACAUACUCAGAAUGUCUGGGUUACACAACCGCUUGUCUCAGCUGGGAGUUAAUCUCCCGGAUGACGCGGUCAUUGACAGAAUCCUUCAGUCGCUUCCACCAAGCUACAAGAGCUUUGUGAUGAACUUCAAUAUGCAGGGGAUGGAAAAGACCAUUCCUGAGGUAUAUUCAAUGCUGAAAUCAGCGGAGGUGGAGAUCAAAAAGGAACAUCAAGUGUUGAUGGUGAAUAAAACCACUAAGUUCAAGAAAGGCAAGGGUAAGAAGAACUUCAAGAAGGACGGCAAGGGAGUUGCCGCGCCCGGUAAGCCAGUUGCCGGGAAGAAGUCAAAGAAUGGACCCAAGCCUGAGACUGAGUGCUUUUAUUGCAAGGGAAGUGGUCACUGGAAGCGGAACUGCCCCAAAUACUUAGCGGACAAGAAGACCGGCAACACCAAAGGUAUAUGUGAUAUACAUGUAAUUGAUGUGUACCUUACCUGUACUCGUAGUAGCUCCUGGGUAUUUGAUACCGGUGCGGUUGCUCAUAUUUGUAACUCAAAACAGGAGCUGCGGAAUAAGCGGAGACUGGCGAAGGACGAGGUGACGAUGCGCGUCGGGAAUGGUUCCAAGGUCGAUGUGAUCGCCGUCGGCACGCUGCCUCUACAUUUACCUACGGGAUUAGUUUUAAACCUCAAUAAUUGUUAUUUAGUGCCAGCUUUGAGCAUGAACAUUGUAUCUGGAUCUCGUUUAAUUCGAGAUGGCUACUCAUUUAAAUCCGAGAAUAAUGGUUGUUCUAUUUAUAUGAGAGAUAUGUUUUAUGGUCAUGCCCCGCUGGUCAAUGGUUGAUUCUUGAUGAAUCUCGAACGUGAUGUUACACAUAUUCAUAGUGUGAAUACCAAAAGAUGUAAAGUUGAUAACGAUAGUCCCACAUACUUGUGGCACUGCCGCCUUGGUCACAUUGGUGUCGAACGCAUGAAGAAGCUCCAUGCAGAUGGACUUUUGGAGUCUCUUGAUUACGAAUCAUUUGACACGUGCGAACCAUGCCUCAUGGGUAAGAUGACCAAGACUCCGUUCUCCGGAAUAGUGGAGCGAGCAACCAACUUAUUGGAAAUCAUACAUACUAAUGUGUGCGGUCCAAUGAGUGUUGAGGCUCGCGGUGGCUAUCGUUAUGUUCUCACUCUCACUGAUGAUUUAAGUAGAUAUGGGUAUGUCUACCUAAUGAAACACAAGUCUGAAACCUUUGAAAAGUUCAAGGAAUUUCAGAGUGAGGUUGAGAAUCAACGUGACAGGAAAAUAAAGUUCCUGCGAUCAGAUCGUGGAGGGGAAUAUUUAAGUCACGAAUUUGGCACACACUUAAGGAAAUGUGGAAUCAUUUCACAACUCACGCCGCCUGGAACACCUCAGCGAAAUGGUGUGUCCGAACGUCGUAAUCGCACUCUAUUGGAUAUGGUGCGAUCUAUGAUGUCUCUUACCGAUCUACCGCUCUCAUUUUCGGGCUAUGCUUUAGAGACUGCUGCAUUCACUUUAAAUAGGGCUCCGUCGAAAUCCGUUGAGACGACACCAUAUGAAUUAUGGUUUGGGAAGAAACCUAAGCUGUCGUUUCUAAAAGUUUGGGGAUGCAAUGCUUAUGUCAAGAAAAUUCAACCUGAAAAGCUCGAACCCAAAUCGGAAAAAUGCGUCUUCAUAGGAUAUCCUAAGGAAACCAUUGGGUAUACCUUCUACCUCAGAUCCGAAGGCAAGAUCUUUGUUGCCAAGAACGGGUCCUUUCCGGAGAAAGAGUUUCUCUCGAAAGAAUUAAGUGGGAGGAAAGUGGAACUUAAUGAGGUGAUAGUCACCCCCUCCGAACCGGAAAGUAGCGCAGCGCGGGAAGAUGUUCCUGUGGUGCCUACACCAACUGGGGAGGAAGUUAAUGAUGAUGAUCAUGAAGCUUCGGAUCAAGUUACUGCUGAACUUCGUAGGUCCACAAGGACACGUUCCGCACCAGAGUGGUACGGCAACCCUGUCCUAGAAAUCAUGUUGUUAGACAACGGUGAACAUUCGAACUAUGAAGAAGCGAUGGCGGGCCCGGAUUCCGACAAAUGGCUAGAAGCCAUGAAAUCCGAGAUAGGAUCCAUGUAUGAAAACGACGUAUGGACUUUGACUAACUUGCCCGAUGAUCAGCGAGCCAUAGAAAAUAAAUGGAUCUUUAGGAAGAAGACAGACGCGGAUGGUAAUGUGACCAUCUAUAAGGCUCGACUUGUCGCUAAGGGUUAUCGACAAGUUCAAGGGGUUGACUACGAUGAGACUUUCUCACCCGUAGCGAAGCUGAAGUCCGUCCAAAUUAUGUUAGCAAUUGCCGCAUUCUAUGAUUAUGAGAUAUGGCAAAUGGACGUCAAAACGGCAUUCCUUAACGGCUUUCUUAAGGAAGAAUUGUAUAUGAUGCAGCCGGAAGGUUUUGUCGAUCCUAAGAAUGCUAACAAGGUAUGCAAGCUCCAGCGCUCCAUCUAUGGGCUGGUGCAAGCAUCUCGGAGUUGGAACAUUCGAUUUGAUGAGAUGAUCAAAGCGUUUGGGUUUACACAGACUUAUGGAGAAGCCUGUGUUUACAAGAAAGUGAGUGGGAGCUCUGUAGCAUUUCUCUUAUUAUAUGUGGAUGACAUACUAUUGAUGGAAAAUGAUAUAGAAUUCUUGGAAAGUAUAAAGGCCUACUUGAAUGUAGCAGAUCCGUUGACUAAACCUCUCCCUAGAGCAAAACAUGAUCAACACCAGAACUCUAUGGGUGUUCGAUUCAUCACAAUGUAACUAGAUUAUUGACUCUAGUGCAAGUGGGAGACUGUUGGAAAUAUGCCCUAGAGGCAAUAAUAAAUGGUUAUUAUUAUAUUUCCUUGUUCAUGAUAAUUGUCUAUUGUUCAUGCUAUAAUUGUGUUAUCCGGAAAUCGUAAUACAUGUGUGAAUACAUAGACCACAACGUGUCCCUAGUAAGCCUCUAGUUGACUAGCUCGUUGAUCAACAUAUAGUCAUGGUUUCCUGACUAUGGACAUUGGAUGUCAUUGAUAACGGGAUCACAUCAUUAGGAGAAUGAUGUGAUGGACAAGACCCAAUCCUAAGCAUAGCACAAAAGAUCGUGUAGUUCGUUUGCUAGAGCUUUUCCAAUGUCAAGUAUCAUUUCCUUAGACCAUGAGAUCGUGCAACUCCCGGAUACCGUAGGAGUGCUUUGGGUGUACCAAACAUCACAACGUAACUGGGUGACUAUAAAGGUACACUACGGGUAUCUACGAAAGUGUCUGUUGGGUUGGCACGGAUCGAGACUGGGAUUUGUCACUCCGUAUGACGGAGAGGUAUCUCUGGGCCCACUCGGUAAUGCAUCAACAUAAUGAGCUCAAUGUGACUAAGGAGUUAGCCACGGGAUCAUGCAUUGCGGUACGAGUAAAGCGACUUACCGGUAACGAGAUUGAACAAGGUAUUGGGAUACCGACGAUCGAAUCUCGGGCAAGUAACGUACCGAUUGACAAAGGGAAUUGUAUACGAGAUUGAUUGAAUCCUCGACAUCGUGGUUCAUCCGAUGAGAUCAUCAUGGAACAUGUGGGAGCCAACAUGGGUAUCCAGAUCCCACUGUUGGUUAUUGACCGGAGAGGCGUCUCGGUCAUGUCUGCAUGUCUCCCGAACCCGUAGGGUCUACACACUUAAGGUUCGGUGACGCUAGGGUUGUAGAGAUAUUAGUAUGCGGAAACCCGAAAGUUGUUCGGAGUCCCGGAUGAGAUCCCGGACGUCACGAGGAGUUCCGGAAUGGUCGGGAGGUGAAGAAUUAUAUAUAGGAAGUCCAGUUUCGGCCACCGGGAAAGUUUCGGGGGUUAUCGGUAUUGUACCGGGACCACCGGAAGGGUCCCGGGGGUCCACCGGGUGGGGCCACCUAUCCCGGAGGGCCCCAUGGGCUGAAGUGGGAGGGGAACCAGCCCCUAGUGGGCUGGUGCGCCCCCCAUGGGCCUCCCCCUGCGCCUAGGGUUGGAAACCCUGGGGGUCGGGGGCGCCCCACCUGACUUGGGGAGGAAGUUUCCCUCCCUUGGCCGCCGCCCCCCCAUAGAUGGGAUCCCAGGGCCGGCGCCCCCCAGGGGGCCUAUAUAAAGGGGGGAGGGAGGGCUGCUGUACCCUAGCCCCUGGCGCCUCCCUCUCCCUCCCGUGACACCUCUCCCUCCCGCUUGCGCUUGGCGAAGCCUUGCCGGGAUCCCCGCUACUUCCACCACCACGCUGUCGUGCUGCUGGAUCUCCAUCAACCUCUCCUUCCCCCUUGCUGGAUCAAGAAGGAGGAGACGACGCUGCUCCGUACGUGUGUUGAACGCGGAGGUGUCGUCCGUUCGGCGCUCGGUCAUCGGUGAUUUGGAUCACGACGAGUACGACUCCAUCAACCCCAUUCACUUGAACGCUUCCGCUCGUGAUCUACAAGGGUAUGUAGAUGCACUCCUUUCCCCUCGUUGCUAGCAAACUCCAUAGAUGGAUCUUGGUGAUGCGUAGAAAAUUUUAAAAUUCUGCAACGAUCCCCAACAGGUCAGACGUGUUGGUUGGGUCUUCAACGGUGGCUAUGAAGUGGGUGGCGGGUGGGAAGCAGAAUUCCCCAUCAUCCGCCGUGAGUUCGAACCAAACAUAGUUCGGCGAAGAGUCAUCUGUCAGGGAUAGAUUUUUAACGAGUUGAGUAAGUCGCCCAUGGGAGAGUGUUGGAAGACAUCUGCGGCGCUGAACUUGAAGAUCGAUAACCGAUCGAGUUCGGUGUCCGAGGGCUCGCAGGUUCCGGAACUCGGCACCGGAGACGAGCCCGGGGCUCCGUUGAUGCAGGUACCGUACGAAGUGGAAUCUGCAAGCGGCUCCAACGCCACCGAAUCAGUAGCCCCCGUGAUGGGGUUGAGCUUCCCAUCUUCGGGUGACUUGAUCUGCUCCGGAUCUAAGGCCAGAGUUGCUAUAGGAGCUAUCUCCUGGGUGUGACCCGAUGACCGGUUUAAGCCAUGUUCGUCGGAGCGGCAGGGAACGAUUGCCGCGGUCUCGAAUCCGUUGAAGAUCAAGUCUCCACGGAUGUCCACAACGUAGUUCAGGCUUCCAAAUCUGACCUGAUGGCCAGGGGCGUAGCUGUCGAUCUGCUCCAGACGGCCAAGCGAGUUGGCCCGCAGUGCGAAGCCGCCGAAUACGAAGAUCUGUCCGGGGAGAAAGGUUUCUCCCUGGACAACGUCAUCACUGACGAUCGAAGGGUCCAUCAAACCUUUCGUCGACGACACAGUGGAACUCUCAAUGAAAGCACCAAUGUCAGUGUCAAAACCGGCGGAUCUCGGGUAGGGGGUCCCGAACUGUGCGUCUAGGAUCGAUGGUGACAGGAGACAAGGGACACGAUGUUUACCUAGGUUCGGGCCCUCUCUAUGGAGGUAAUACCCUACUUCCUGCUUGAUUGAUCUUGAUGAAUAUGAGUAUUACAAGAGUUGAUCUACCACGAGAUCGUAAUGGCUAAACCCUAGAAGUCUAGCCUAUAUGAAUAUGGUAAUGAAUAUCCGUCCAUCCGGACUACUCCCUCCGGUUUAUAUAGACACCGGAGAGGUCUAGGGUUUACAUAGAGUCGGUUACAUAGGAGGGAAUCUUCAUAGUUGAUCGCCAAGCUUGCCUUCCACGCCAAGGAGAGUCCAAUCCGGACACGGGUAUAGUCUUCGGCCUUCAUAUCUUCACAGCCCAUCAGUCCGGCCCAUAGAUAACAGGCCGCACGCCCGAGGACCCCUUAGUCCAGGACUCCCUCAGUCACCUCCAUAAACGAGAAACAUAUCCUUAGUCCUUUUCAGGUAUUUCAGGAUGUUCUUGACCACUGUCCAGUGAUCCACUCCUGGAUUACUUUGGUACCUCCCCACUAUACUUAUAGCAAGGCACACAUCAGGUCUGGUACACAGCAUUGCAUACAUGAUAGAACCUAUGGCUGAAGCAUAGGGAAUGACUUUGAUUUUCUCUCUAUCUUGUGCAGUGGUCGGGCAUUGAGUCUCACUCAACUUCACACCUUGUAACACAGGCAAGAACCCUUUCUUUGACUGGUCCAUUUUGAACUUCUUCAAAAUCUUAUCAAGGUAUGUGCUAUGUGAAAGUCCAAUUAAGCGUCUUGAUCUAUCUCUAUAGAUCUUGAUGCCUAAUAUAUAAGCAGAUUCACCGAGGUCUUUCAUUGAAAAACUUUUAUUCAAGUAUCCUUUUAUGCUAUCCAGAAAUUCUAUAUCAUUUCCAAUCAACAGUAUGUCAUCCACAUAUAAUAUUAGAAAUGUUACAGAGCUCCCACUCACUUUAUUGUAAAUACAGGCUUCUCCAAAAGUAUGUAUAAAACCAUAUGCUUUGAUCACACUAUCAAAAUGUUUAUUCCAACUCCGAGAGACUUGCACCAGUCCAUAAAUGGAUUGCUGGAGCUUGCACACUUUGUUAGCAUCCUUUGGAUCGACAAAACCUUCUGGUUGCAUCAUAUACAACUCUUCUUCCAGAAACCCAUUCAGGAAUGCAGUUUUGACAUCCAUUUGCCAAAUUUCAUAAUCAUAAAAUGCAACAAUUGCUAACAUGAUUCGGACAGACUUAAGCAUCGCUACGGGCGAGAAAGUCUCGUCGUAGUCAACUCCUUGAACUUGUCGAAAACCUUUCGCAACAAGUCGGGCUUUGUAGACAGUAACAUUACCGUCAGCGUCAGUCUUCUUCUUGAAGAUCCAUUUAUUCUCGAUGGCUUGCCGAUCAUCGGGCAAGUCAACCAAAGUCCACACUUUGUUCUCAUACAUGGAUCCCAUCUCAGAUUUCAUGGCCUCAAGCCAUUUCACGGAAUCUGGGCUCAUCAUCGCUUCCUCAUAGUUCGUAGACUCGUUAUGGUCUAGUAACAUGAUGUCCAGAACAGGAUCACCGUACCACUCUAGUGCGGAUCUUACUCUGGUAGACCUACGAGGUUCAGUAGUAACUUGAUCUGAAGUUUCAUGAUCACUAUCAUUAGCUUCCUCACUAAUUGGUGUAGGAAUAACUGGAACUGAUUUCUGUGAUGAACUACUUUCCAAUUCGGGAGAAGGUACAAUUACCUCAUCAAGUUCUACUUUCCUCCCACUCACUUCUUUCGAGAGAAACUCCUUCUCUAGAAAGGAUCCAUUCUUAGCAACGAAUAUCUUGCCUUCGGAUCUGUGAUAGAAGGUGUACCCAACAGUCUCCUUUGGGUAUCCUAUGAAGACACAUUUCUCCGAUUUGGGUUCGAGCUUAUCAGGUUGAAGCUUUUUCACAUAAGCAUCGCAGCCCCAAACUUUUAGAAACGACAACUUGGGUUUCUUGCCAAACCACAGUUCAUAAGGUGUCGUCUCAACGGACUUAGAUGGUGCCCUAUUUAACGUGAAUGCAGCCAUCUCUAAAGCAUAACCCCAAAACGAUAGCAGUAAAUCAGUAAGAGACGUCAUAGAUCGCACCAUAUCUAAUAAAGUGCGGCUACGACGUUCGGACACACCAUUGCGCUGUGGUGUUCUAGGUGGCGUGAGUUGCGAAACUAUUCCACAUUGUUUCAAAUGAAGACCAAACUCGUUGUGACGCCCCCGAUUUGACCGUACACUAACCAUGCACACAAAUGUGUACGAUCAAGAUCCAGGACUCACGGGAAGAUACCACAACACAACUCUAAAACAUAAAUAAGUCAUACAAGCAUUAUAAUACAAGCCAGGGGCCUCGAGGGCUCGAAUACAAGUGCUCGAUCACAGACGAGUCAGCGGAAGCAACAAUAUCUGAGUACAGACAUAAGUUAAACAAGUUUGCCUUAAGAAGGCUAGCACAAACAGGGAUACAGAUCGAACGAGGCGCGUGCCUCCUACCUGGGAUCCUCCUAACUACUCCUGGUGGUCGUCAGCGGGCUGCACGUAGUAGUAGGCACCUCCAGUGUCGUAGGUGUCAUCGUCGACGGUGGCGUAUGGCUCCUGGACUCCAGCAUCUGGUUGCGACAACCAGAUAGAAAGGAAAAGGGGAAAAGAAGGAGAGAAGCAACCGUGAGUACUCAUCCAAAGUACUCGCAAGCAAUGAGCUAUACUACAUAUGCAUGGGUAUAUGUGUAAAGGGGCAUAUCAGUGGACUGAACUGCAGAAUGCCAGAAUAAAAGGGGGAUAGCUAGUCCUAUCGAAGACUACGCUUCUGGUCAUCUCCAUCUUGCAGCAUGUAGAAGAGAGUAGAUGGAAGUCCUCCAAGUAGCAUCGCAUAGCAUAAUCCUACCCGGCGAUCCCCUCCUCGUCGCCCUGUUAGAGAGCGAUCACCGGGUUGUAUCUGGCACUUGGAAGGGUGUAUUUUAUUCAGUAUCCAGUUCUAGUUGUCAUAAGGUCAAGGUACAACUCCGGGUCGUCCUUUUACCGAGGGACACGGCUAUUCGAAUAGAUAAACUUCCCUGCAGGGGUGCACCACAUAACCCAACACGCUCGAUCCCAUUUGGCCGGACACACUUUUCUGGGUGAUGCCCGGCCUCGUAAGAUCAACGCGUCGCAGCCCCACCUAGGCUCAACCGAGAGGUCAACACGCCGGU